rnacentral:lncRNA from 1 species
CCGGUCUACCAAAAUACCACUAGACCAGCUGCGCUCCGCCUGCGCUGAAAGCUGACCAGGUUUGAAUCAGCGAAUCGGCAGGGUCCUCCACCCUCCACCGCCUCACUGGCGGACAUGAAAAAUAGAGCCCACAGUCUUGUAACGCCAUAUUUUGACAUCAGCAUAGAGAAGACAAACUGACUGAUUGUUGUUUGCAAAAGUCUUUCUGAAGAAGGUUUUUAGACUGAAAACUUGUUAUGCAUCACAGGAAUAUAUUUCAAUUGUCUGCUAACAAACCCCUAUAAUCGAUAUUAGACUUUAUAUAUUUUGCCAUGCUUUUAUUUUGAAUUCUGUUUCUUUAAGAUGUUCUUUUGUGCUGUUGUUUUAUGAGUCACUGCUCCUGAACUUUUCCAUGUUUUUGAUUUUGGACAUGAAUUCAGGGCUGUGAGUUUGUGGUUGGCAUGUUUGCUGCUGUUUGCUAUUUUCACUCAUGUGUGACUCGAACUCUUUUGGGAGAGAAACCUCUAUUAAAUGUCGUCCAGAGAGAGCUGACAGUGCAAUCACGUCUAUCAGGGUCUCACCUUGUUCGACAUUUUAAAUGAUGAUGCUUUGAACUGAAGCUUACUCAUGCAUCUGUACUUAGACCAAAAUACAAAUCCAGCCCACACCAACACACAGGACUGCUUUAAAGUCCAUCAUUGGUAAUGUACAUUGUGCUUUAUUUGCAGUUUCUUUAAUGUCAUUUCUGCUGUGUGUCAUAUUAUAACUUUGUGAGUGACAGAAGAGAGAGGAAAGAGGAGGAGACCAGAUGGUGGGUGAGAGAAAUAAUUACUGCCUUUUCUUUAUGACAUUUACAACAAUUAUGAGACAGGAGUUUGCCAAUGCAUGUUGUUCUAAGAAAAGGACAUCUCUAGUGUCUUGUGCACCAACUUGUGUUUCAACAGAAUAUUAAGAAUAGUGUUAACUGAAAAACUAGAACUGUAAUGCCACUAAGUGCUAACAAGAGAAAUCCGAAGUGUCUUUUGAUUUUGUGUAAAACUGUUAAAGUGAUGGAUAAAUUACUGUUUUUGUCCAGGGUUGCAAAUGGGUUCACAGUUUCAGCUUCAAAAUUAAAGCAAAAGUCAUUUGAAGUUCCAGUAUGUGAUCAUUUCUCUCAUCAACGCCAUUGGUCUGACUUUGGUCUUGAACUUCUUGCUCCCUGCAGUGUUUGUAGCGAGUUUCUCUGAUUCCCUCUCAAAGUCAUUGUGGUGAAUUUUGGAGGUGUAGAGUUCACUGAAGCCGAGCAGGCCAGCGAUGGAGAUAGCUGUGAUUGCCUGGAUCUGUCGCCUUCUGCUUUGGUUCACCGCCAGCUUUGUGGUUUGACUUCCAAUCGACUUCAGCUCCAGAUGUUCGCAGCUAUAUGCCUGGUGUGUUUGUGUGUAUGUGUGAGUGGGGAUUUUUGGCUUAAGAUGGGUGGGUGUGACCACAUGCAUUUGUGUCACUGGGCUGCCACUUGUGUGAGUGUGAUUUGCGGUGUGGAGUGUGUUUUCUUUCACCUUGUGUUAGUGAUGUCUGAGUGGCCAAACAAACAAAAUCUGUGAAAUUGCAUGAAAGGAGUUUCUUAAACAUGUUUGAUACCAAUGGAAAAACUAGACUUGAGAAGAGAAAAUAAAGAAAACAUUGGUGUUAAUGACAUUGUUGCGGGUGAUCUACAAUUAUUAAGUGCGCAAUUGUAAACAAGUGAAAAAGUGUCGCGGACCGGGUUUUGCGUGCGCUAUCGGCUGUCACCAUGGAGAGUUUGUGAGAGCAGAGUGAUUGUAGAUGAAAAAUAAAGUAUCGUUAUAGACACGAAAAAGCAGCUGCAAUCGGUUUUGAUAAUUCACAUUGUGGGUGCGAAAUGAUUCCAUUUGCAUCUGCUCCUCCCAGUAUUUUGGACGUUCUGAUGAUCUACAUACAUUGCAUUUAUGAAGGCAAACACACUAAAUGGAUCGCGCAAACUGUUUUGCUCAUUUGACAGACACAAUCCUCGGUGCACCCGGUUUUAGUAGAUCAGGUUUGCGUGCUCUAUCAAGUUAGCACAUGUUUUUGCACACGCAAACCCUUUGUGGAUUAGGCCCUUAGUUUUAGUUUCAACUACCGAAAGUGAGAUGUACCUAGGACUGGGCAAUUAUGAUUAUGAUUGAUAAUCGUGAUAAACUUCAGUUCCAUCAUGGUGAUCAGCUGUGAGCAUAUUUACUUGAUCAAACAUGGCGGAAAUGUGCGUCACAAAAGCCAAUCAGAGUUGAGCUUUUCCUGCUCAAUUCUGUAAGCUGCCAGAGAAGUAAACAGGAAACAGAAUGACUGAACAUGGAGCUAAACGCAGAGCUGAGGGCAGCAAAAUAGAUGUCAGCCAUGACUUUGAGUUAUCCUCCAAAGAUGCUACUGUUGAGAAGAAAAGUUAUUUGACGCCGGUUGUGUGGCUGUGGUUUAGGUAUCUCCAGGUGACGUCAAGCAAUUAAGCCAAUGUGCAAGGUAUGUCAGUGGUCGGUGCCAUCAAAAAUCGGCAACACAACAGAUCUGUUUAAUCAUUUGAAGAAGUACAUCCCGAGUGAUUAUGCGGAAAGCAUGAAAAUGCGAGCAGAGUCUGCACAACCUGCCACUGCUGGCGGCACAAGUAGCAUUAGCAGUUUAGCCACAACUAGCGGUGCAGCCACCAGACCAAAACAGCAAUCAAUCAUAUCAUCUACGUUUGCAUCAUUUAAUGUUUUUGGUGUAUGGCGUCUUCAUUAUCCCUGAGGGGGCGAUUAGUUUAUUUUGGGUCUUGAAUACCUGCAGAAACACUCAGGACUGUAAACUAAUUCACUACAUUUGUUGUACUGUUGAGUUGUUGAUGUUUUUCUAAGUUUAUCUUAUCCAAUUUGCUUUGUUAUUUACUUUGUAUCAUAAUAAAAUGUUGAACUAAUCUUUCAUUUCUUUAGUACAGGUGCUUCAAAACUGGUAGUUUAAAAAAAAAAGUGAUAAUAAUCGAGAUCAGACAAUAUGACAAAAUAUAUUGUGAUAAUUUUUUUUUCCAAAUCGCCCAGUCCUACCUACAGCUCUUUUACUGAUCUUUUUGCUAUGACUAUCACCUUUGCAUCUUUCAUCUGCACGUACUUACAGCUGAAUGAAACAGUUGACUGUUGUUCUCUGGGAAUUACAAGAGGGUGUUGGUGAAGUGCACUUGGGUAAAACAGAAAUAGACGAAACAGACUGAGGAGCUGGGCAGAAAGAUUGCACAAUAAAAUAAACCCACUCCCUGGUGCGCUGAACAUCACAAGUUGAUAUGUGUUACCUUGUCUGCUCCUCCACUCCUGCCUGUCCUGUGACGGCACUGUGGACCUACAAAAUGAAAAAGUAGAUCCUCUGGAAGUGAAUACAGGUUCAAGCCAAUUUUGGACGUUUAUGGUUUCUGUGUUUGUGUUGUGGAAAUUGCACCUUCUGCUCUAUCACAAACACCAUGUUUUGUCUUCUUCUUGUAUCAGUAAAAAGGCCUCCUUCAAAGCAUGCUUUUACCUAACUUUUGUCUUCUUACCAAUUAGUGCUCAGAUUUAGCUUAAAUGACCCAAUUUACUUUCAGCUUCAAGCCAACUGAGCCAAUUACUGGUUAAAUACACUGGAAUGAUGAGUUGUCUUGCAAUUGUGAACUAAUUUCCUGCAAAAGACUUAAUUACUUUUAGCUUUUUGUGGAGGACUUGGCUUUCCAUCCAAGAAUGCACUAAUUUCUCUCUUUUCCUUUUUCUUUUUCUCGGUGACUUUCCUCUGGACAUCAAUAGGUAAGAAAGUUUAAGCUUGUUUUGUGUCCUGUUUUCUUAGAGCUCAUAUUCAAGACAAGUGACCUUACAGAUAAAUCACUGCCUGUGCGUCAGCAAUUGAAGCAUUUUAGUGACUUUAAACUGAAUACAUCAUAUGACACAUAGUGUCAUAAAAGACUAAGAAUGAACAAAUGUAUCAAAAUGUAUCUCGUUCAUCUUAAAGCUAAAGCAGUUGAGUGCAGCUUUAAGGUUACAGUUGUUAAAAGCUGACUGCCAGUCUUGCAGACAUUAACCUGAACUCCUCCUUGCUGCAGUCUGUAUGAAUGCAAUUCGCAUACUGGUGAAAGGAAAUGUUGUUUCUCAUCGUCUUUUUGUUUUGUUGCUGGAAAUUCCAUUAAAAAAAUGACUGAGCAUGAUGACUUCCUUAUAGUGACUUGCGCCAUGAAGAAAACAUACAAACUGGACAAAUAUUAAAGCUACUUUGAGGAAUUUUUUGAUGUUCAUGAAACAAGCCAUAAUUCAUACUGAUGCCUUUUAAUGAUAUUAAAAAGCAAACAGGACCAUCAGUGACAAGCCUGACAGUUUGUAUUUUAUAUGAAGCUGGAGGAGACAGCUAGCUAGCUGCACAAGAGGAGUAAUGGAGUGCUGCGGGGAGGGGGGGCUGUUGUUUUGAAUCGGUCCUGAAUAUGAGGGGUUUGUUGACACAGUUAACAUUUUAGUUAUAGUUCAGAUUUCCAUGUUUUUUUUUGUGCACUGUGUUGCAAGAUGUAGCUCUGCACAGGUAAUGGAGGGAGGUUAUGCUGGACUUCUUUACAUUUAGCAUUAAUAAAAGCCCAAAUACCAAGUAACAUUGCUCUUAGCUCUCAAAUAUUUAAACAUAAAAUAUUUAGGAACAGCAGAAAGAUCAGUGUCAUGUAUACAAAAAGUUUUACCACAUAUUAACGUCUGUUAGAUGAGUUUAAGCAUCAUUUUAUUAUAGAUAGAAAAAAUAGCAUCAGAAGAAGAAGUUGUAUAAUCACUUUAUUCACCUAAAAAACAAGCUGACAUAGAGGGCAUAUCGAGAUCCUCAUGACAAUGAAGGAUAACAUUAAUUUUGUGUAGAUGCUCGCAGUUUGCUCCAGUUUAGCUUUGUCAGCUUUCGCUCCUGGGUUUGAAUUCCAGCAUUAAGACAACAUUUAAGGUCAGCCCUUUAGUGGUAUCUAUGAAGCUGUUCAGGUUUACAAGUACUGAGGAAACAUUAUCCUGCUAAAGAGGUCUGCAUCACAAUGGGUAGUGACUGAAUCAACAUCAAGUUCAAGCUCUAGGACUUUUUCUUCAAAACCUGGUUGCAGGGAUGAUGAAGUCGGUUGUUCAUAAAACUCCAAGAAAUAGGGGUUGAAUUGCAUUUUAUUGCAAGGAACCUGGGUUGUAACCAACUUAUCACAAGUUCUACUUUCUAAGCACUAAGCAGUUGGACUGUCAGGCAGUGAUUGCAGAGGUAAUAGAGUUGGUUGUUCAUAAAAUUGCAAGUAUUGUAGUUUGAUCCUCAAUCUUGCUGUCCAUGUGAAGGAAUAUGAUGAAGCUUUUAAACUUCUUGGACUGCCCUCUUUCACUGCACUCACACAGAAAACUCUUUUUUCACUGCACCAUACAGCAUAUCAAAAACAUAUUCAUCAUUGCAGCUGUACUUUAGUCAGCUCACUUUUUCUUCAUUCCUGCUGCCACAUCCCUCAAGUAAAAGCUACACUGCUUUUCAAAAGCUUCACUUCCACCCAGCAUCCAACAGCAGGCCCUGACUUCAUGUUCCCCUAGAGAGGAGGUUAUUAGCCUAGCUCCCCCUGCUGUGCUGAGCUUGCUGCUUCUAUGUCGAGAGCAUGGAGGUCGGAGCCUAGACCACAAAAACAGCUCUACAAUUUACUACUUUCACAUCAUUGUCCCAAUGCUAUGUGGAUUGGUUGGUUUGAACCCAGAACUCCCAUUCACAAAUAUCCCAGUGCCCUGCAUGAAUGGUCAGCUGUUUAUUAGUGUGUAAAGGUGGAUUGUAUGGGUGGGAGAAAAAAUCAAUACAGCACAGUAUCGCGAUAUUUUGUCUGGUGACAUAUUGUAUUGUCUCAUCCACCAAGUAUCGAUUUUUUCAAAUUCACUGCUAAUACGAAGUCAAAUCUAUGAAAAUGGAAAAAGAAAAUCAUUUUUUUGUCCACUAAGCUGAGGUGACAUCAUGGAGCAGGAGAAAGUUAGUGCAACAAAUAUGGCAGCACCUGGGGAAAGACAUUAGGAAUGCAAGCAAGGCACAUAUGAGAUGGACAUGACAUAUGAGGUUUGCAAGAAGUGCUACAUAUAAAUAAAAUAUUGCCUCAAUAAGACAAACAUCAGGGAAAGAAAAAAAGCUUGAUCAGCUAAGCAGUGGAAAAAGUGUACAAAUCCCAAUAUAUGGUUUUGCAAUACUCACGGAAUCGCAAAAUGUUUAAAAUUGUAAUAAUACUGAAUCGUGCCCCAAGUAUCGUGAUAAUAUUGAAUCCAAUUGUGAUUCCCACCCCUCAUGGAUAGAUGUUUGUUGGUUCCAUUUUGAAUGCAGUCAUUUUCAUUCAUUUGGUGCCAAAUUACAACAGUCUUAUGACACGUCAUGGUGUAGGUCUAAUGCUAGGUGUGGGAAUCACAGGGUUACCUGACGAGACCAUAUAAUAUCAAUUUGUGGCUCUCCAUACAUCUGCUUUUGUAUAGCAACAUAAAUUGCUUUGUUGAGUUAUACAACAGGAGCAAGUUUCCCUUCAUAAAUUCUGUGAAAAAAGAAGCACAAUUCAAAUUAAAUCCUAACAGAGCCAGAGGAUAUUUUUUUUUUUACAAAACAUGCAAAAUUACAUUAUCACUGACUGCCUGAGCUUGUGUUUUUAGAUAAAAAGUCAUUUUAACUCCCGCAGUGUAGAAUAUCUUUAAUGGCAGAUGCUUUUAUUUGUAUGCAAAUCAUGUACAGACUGCUGAUAGCUAUGCUACCUUUUCAUGCCAGACACUUGCUUUUGUUGAGCCUGUGUGGGAGUAUUCAUUUAUAGACAUAUAGGUGUGUGAGGUGCAUGAGUACACCGACAUGCAGAACAUGUUUACCCUUCUCACAUCAUCUAUUUAUUAAUUCAUUUUUUGUUUGCUCUCUGAGUAGCUUUCAUUUUAUGUGCGUGAGGGAGAGCCUACAACAACAUAUGCCCUCCAUAGUAUGAAUUACUAAUUACAGUUUUUGUUUAACAAGCUGGUGGGCAUAUGUGUAGUGUUAUAGUUUUAAUUUAGCAACCCAUAGGAGCCUCAAAAUACCACCUCUAGUUGCUUUAAGCCCCUGUGAAUAUGUGGAUAUGUUUCUAUAUGUUCAUGUCAGUUUGUGUUUGUAUGCAUUUGUACAACUGUAUGAGAUCUAGAUAAAUAGACAGACAAAUGGAAAUGAUAGUAGUGAGACAAACCCCAGGGGGACACAGCCGGCUUUGAAUAGGUGGAAGUAUUAGUCUUAAACAAUCUCCCCUUUACAGGUUUACUCAAGCCAUGCUCGCAGUAAUGUGUUUUUGUCUCCCAUUGACUCUGAAUUGCAUUUCAUUCGGUGCCCUGCAAUCCACUUCCCUCUUGCUUUCUCUCUCACUCUCUCUCUCUUUUUAUUGCAUCUCAUCAGCCGUGGGGAAACGACCCAGCUGCUGCUGUGAUGCCACUCACGGCCAAUGCGCCCUGACAGAUUCCAAUUAAGUUGGAAAAUGUAACGUAUGAAUAUUAGAAAGUACCCUGACACAAACAUCAUCCCUUCUUUUGUUGCAUUAUGCAGCUUGUUGUCGGGGGUCUCCGCUGGUCCACCGUUUACAGUCAGUUUAUUUCUCCUUCUCCCCGUCUCCAUCCUGCUCAUCCCCCCUCUCUCCUUAAAGGCUGUUUGUUUAACAGCUGUAAAUAUGCCCACUACGCACCUAAACUCUCAUUUAAAGCCCAAGAUGUGGUUUUUGUCAAUCGUUGCAUCUCUAUUUGGCUUCCUGUGCUCAUUCCAAUAAGCAUUUGCAGGCAGGGAAGUGAAAUAAAUGAAGAGUCGACUCAGGGGAAUGUGUAAAUAAAUGCAAACCUGUAUGAUAUCUCAUUUCUAUGUGCAUAGAUUAUAUCAGUGUCAACUGAACAGCAAGAAAUUGUCAUUUUGUCUGACAACAACAUCUGAAUAGCAGUGUGUAAAGUCUCACAGUUUCAGCUUGGUUGUUUAUUUUUUUCCUGUAUGUGUAUGUUUGUGUAUCUUUUUUGUCUGAGACUGAACUGGCAACCCCAAACUGCCAGCUCUGUGGUAGUUACAUCAGCGCACAGCUCAGUAGCACAGCUUCAUUCUGACAGACUUCCGAUGCCCCUGUGCUGAAUGAGAGCAUUCCUCUGAGCUGCCAGUUCCUGCGAGUAUGUGUGUGUAUUUGUGUGCAUGUGUGUGUCUGUGCCCUGCUGUUAAAGCCAUGAGGCAGAGCCAGGACCCCGUAGCUGGCCUGUAGACCAUGUGUGACCUCAUCUCAACCUGGCAACCCACUUCCCCUCACAUGGUGAUAAGAGGGAUUGCCAAUCGUGCUGUCUGUCUGCCGACUGGAAGUAAAUUAGUCACUUAAAGUCAGUCUGAUGUGCUUAAAACUCUUGAGAAUGUGAUGAUAAUGGAGCGUUAAUGGCUGUGGUCAGCAAAAGAAGAUAUCAGGCAGAGAUUAAGAUGUCUGCGAAGAAAAAGAGAGGUUACAUGUAAUGAAGGUCAAAAAGUAGCUCAAAGAGUCCAUAUGUGAAGUGACUGUUGAACCAGAUGUCUCCUUUUUCCAAAUGCACAAUGGAGCACGCUGGAUCUCUGCACAUUUGAGGUGAAUGUCCAUUGACAACUUGGCAACACUGCCCUUGGAAAUCUUCAUGGGUGUGAAGUGUGUUUUCAAAGUGUUUAUACCAGUUAUUGUAAACCAGUCCCACAUACACUGCAGCCAGAAACGCUUUGGUAGAUCCAAAGGGGAACAAGAGUCACCUGUCUACUUCUACAUCAGCUGUUUUUUUGUUUGUUUGUUUUUUUUAAUGUAUGGUCAGAUCAGAUCGAUCCCCUGAAUGUCCUCGAACAGAAACCUCUUUGGAUGGAUCUCACGUCAACUGACUGAAUAUGAAUGUCCUUUCCAUCUUUGUUACUAAACUUGUGCACAAAUCUUUUUUUUUCAGAUACACAAGUGAAUGAUCUUUAUAAUUGCAGCAGUGGUGAUGAUCCCACUUACCAUCAGUUGGCCUUACUUGUUCAUGAAUGCCAUUAGUUGCCUGUAAUCUGUCCUUUUGGUUGUGUAUAAACUGUUUAACUCUAAAAACAUUACAUUGGUGGUGGACUUGGUCAGUACCAUGGUUUGCUGGGCAUAGUUUAAGAGUGCACUUCAGUAUUUGAGUGUUUGAGUAUUAUGAUUAUUCUGGUGAUUCAUUAAGUAGUCUAAUAGGAUUUAUUUACUGGUAAAUCAAUGAAUAUUUCCCAUCGACUGAAGGAUUAUCUUUUCUUCUCUCAGUACUUGGUAGUGAUAAAAAUUUAAGGAUUUUUUUUUUUAUGUGAAAUAAUUUUUUUUUUUUGAAAGCAAACAGGACAAUCAGUGUUGAAACUAACUUUUUGCUGCCUCUUGGCCAGGACUCCCUUGAAAAACUGGGUUUUUAAACUCAAUGGGACAUUCCUGGUUAAAUAAAGGUUAAAUUAAAAUAAAUAAAUAAAUAAAGGAUUAAUGUUGGCAGGAUUUUAUUAUGCACAAUUGAAUCAAUUGAAUACAGUCAAGUCUCAGAGAAGUUAACUGGUCUCCAUUAUAACAUAAAUGAAACACAAAGUUAGCAAAAACAUUUUUUUUUAUCUGUUCAAACAAUAGACUGUAUAUACUAUGGACAACUUGAUCCACUUUCAGUCAAUAUAGGAAUUUAAAGCCGAAUUGCUCUCUGGGAUUUUCUCCACUUCAUGGAACCACCAAUUGCACAGUAGCAUUGUAUGGGGACGAGCUACGCAAUCUUCGUACACCUCAUAAGAACAUUGUAUGGGGACGAGCUACGCAAUCUUACAGUAACUACAUGGCAACAUUGCAACGGGGGGGGGGGGUUUCUAUGUAAUUAAUUUGUAAAGUUUGUCCACAACUCCAUAAGGAUUGCUGGAGGAGGCCGGACUUAUGACCUAUACCAUAGGGGGGGGUGUUCUCACGGUGGCUACACCCAGCGAGGAGGCAGACGGACUCGAGUACAAACCAAUCUUACAGUAACUACAUGGCAACAUUGUUAUGUUAUUAGAGUAUACUAUGUGUCGGAGCCAAAACUGAAUGUUUAUGUCUAACUCAUCACUUAUGUCAAGAGAGCAUAACGCAACCACUUUCCAAAUGCCUAAUCCUUUUAUCUGUGUGAGUGGAUAACGUAAGUGAUCGCUUUUGUAGGACUUCUGAGGCUCUACAGCAUCCAAAUGUUGGUGCAAGUCAAACCCUAACAGAUCAUGUUGACAUGUUGUCUAUAUAAAUCAUCAGAAAUGUUCUUUACAUCCAACUGAUGGUAACUCAAGUAGCAUGAAAAGGAUAAACUCUUAAAUUAAAGGCAAAGUAUGCAGUUUGAUCCCUGACAGUCAGGGGUUAAAGAAAACUCAAGUUUCAGAAGCACUGGGAACACUUUGAUGCACUCUUGCUGUAAAGAGCUACAUCACUAAUUUAGGACUUCCCUCUUCACUAACACAGUUCAUAGUGGCAGCUGAAUACUGUUAUCUAGCUUAAUAAUAAGGAGCUUCUACAGUUAAGACAUGUCAGUUUGUCUCACUGCUUUUAAGUAGGAUUGAUGGUUAUUGGUCAGAAAAUGAAUGACAGCCCAGAGUUUGUAGAGUUUCAAAUUGUGUCACUAAUCUUGUUGAACUUGAUACGCUGUAUGUAGAGAGACACCUGUUUGCAAAUCAUAUACUUUGUUUAAACAAUGAAGCAAUGUCUCAUGUAUGUGUCCAGUCAAAUAAACCAUUAAAUAAACAAAACUAAAUAAACUGUCUAAAUGAGCUUCAUACAAGAUAAAACAUAAGCUAAAUUUGGCAUCAACCAACUUUGUCUGGCUGCCCUACUUACUCCAGACCACUUGGGAUUAGGAAUGGGCAUUUGAAGACAGUCUCUUGAUCGAUUAAACAUAUAAAUUAAUGAUCAAUCAUCGAUUUGAUUGUUUUUUAUUUUUUUAUUUUGUGUGUGUGUGUGUGUGUGUGUAAAUGGCAUUUAAAAUACCUGCCAGGCUACCGUAAUAACUUUUUUUCUCAUUCAUGAAAUGCUUUAAUUGGGUACAUUUCUGGGGACAACUUUACCCAGGGACAGGUCAUCCAAAACGGGGACUGUCCCCUGAAAUCGGGGAUGUCUGGUCACACUACGAUCCUCAUUGCCAGCAAGGAGCUGAUGGUAGGUUGAGAUGAGAGCACUCAGAGGAUUCAUUAACCUCAGUCGGAUAUAAGUGGAUUUAGUGGUACAUCAUUUGGGGUGUUGUCGUGUUGUACUUGUACACGGCAUUGCAGUGUUUGCAGCAAAUCUCAUCAUUUUUCCACUCGAAAUGGUUCCACGCCACACUUCGGCUUGCUUUCUUCCUGUUUUUUUUUUAUCAUGUUUUUUUUUUUACUUCUACAGAAGCCUGCUGAUGCCGUAUCACUCCCCUUGUAAAAUGUCAAUAUCCUUCCGCGGGGUUAUAGUCACUGCAUUUCUUUAACACACACACACACUGUCUGGACAAAGAGGGUAUCCCUCCUGAUUAGCAGAGGUUGAUCUUUGCUGGAAAGCAGCUGGAGGAUAAACACACGCUGUCAGACUUUUUUUUUUUAAUAAUGUUAGAUUUAUUGAAAUUUUGUGUGAUCAACGUAAUUCUUAACGAUCAAUUAAUUGAUCAUCAGUUAAUCAUGCCCAUUCACACUUCGGAUGAUUUGUGAUGGUUUUGGUUUUUUUGGUUGGUGCACAAAAAGUUGCCAAAGGCUAACCAGAACAAAAAAAAAAUUUCACAUACUGUUAACAUAAAAUGGAUGUAGCUGAUUACAAAUGACAGCAACAGGUGCACUAACAGGCUGAUGAUUUCUCAUGAUUGAACACAAACCUGCCUUUUGUCGCCUUUUCUCUCCGUUACAACAAACACAAACAAGACAAACACUCCGAUAUUGAAUGAGUAAAUAAAACACACAAAAUUCAAGUACGUGUGGCAAAUGAUUUUCAUUAGUUUUCUUGUCCUGUCUGUGGGAGUGGAUCCUUUCUUGCGGCAGUCUCCUUGUUUUACUUGCCUGGGGCUAAAAAUGCAAAUUUUGGUGUUGGGAUUUAAUUCACACAGUGUGAGAAAGUGAGGGGAACAAUAUCUGUAAAUUACCCUGCAGAAGCUCUUGCAUAUUUGAUGUGUUGAUUUGUGUUUUUACAAGUUAACUUCCCCUGUUGCACCUCCUUCCAAUUGUUAACUUCUUUCAUAAAGUGAUUCUUUUGCUGUAUGGAUGGAUGGGGUUACAGAGUUUAACAGAGUGCAAUUAUUUCUCCUCUGAAUGUUCAAGCUAAUGUAUCAGAAACUAGGGGAGAGAUUUUUGCCUUGAUUUGUAUUAAGCUCAUCAGAAGCAGGGGACUUAUUAUUCUUCCAGACACUUCAUAUUUUAUGACGCUGCAGUGACUCAGAUUUGGAGAGAUUAUGACAAGUGAGCCCAAAUCUAAAGAGCAGCAAACUGGUGCUUGUAAAAUAUCUGUCAGAAUAACAUCCACUAGCUCUGACUGUGUCCCUGACCACACUCCUCAGCCUUUUUCCUCACAGCAAUAGCAUGAAGUAAGAAACAGUGACUGGGGCUCCGGCAGGGUCAAGGCUGACAGCCUGGUAGCGAGUUGGAGUGCCAACCACAAUGCCUGCAGCCAGAACCUUGGCUCAGUGCAACAGCCUGCACUCCUCUGCCACAUGCAUGGAUGUCAUGGCUGCUCUGAUAGGACCAGAGGAAGCUGCAAGAUAGUCCAAGUCUAGCAGAGGGCAUGUCGAAAAAUAGCAGUUUAUCAUCUUCAAAAGCCUUCCACAUAGAUAUGGAGGAUGGAGGAGAGCAGAGGGAGGAGGAUUUCAUGUUGGCAACAUAUCCUCCCCUUCUGGCUAAAAGAACAGUAGAUUGAAAUGUGAUUGUAAGUGUGUGAGUGCGUGUGCAGGGUGUGUGCACUGUCCAUCAGCGAAAAUUGAGCAGCCAAAGAUAGAUUUUUCUGGGAACUUUCAUGCAGAAAAUCACCACCAUUCUGCGAUGAUUGGACAAAUACCUCUCUCACCCAAACCCUGCUAAAGCUGCUUGUCUAAGUUCUCCCUGUUGACAGCCUGUAACAUAAAGGCACAUUCAACAACAGCAAUUUCCAAAGGGAGUGUUGAGUGAAGACCUGAAUGCCAGAACAAUUGGGAAAGCUUUGUCACCCCAAGGCCCAGAAAUUGGCUGUGGUCAGUUUUUAGCACCAACUCCAAGUGAGGGCCUGGAAGAUGAAUGUGACUCCAAUACGUAACACUGUUUGUGCUUCCAUCUCAACUACCACAGGCAGUUCAUUAUGUGUUGGAGGUAUCCUGCUGGUUUCAGCAUUGCCCUGUCCUGAUAGAUUUGUAAUUCCUCAGCAACAUUGUGUAGAUAAAUUACAGGUUUGCGGAGGGCUCUGUGGACAUUUCUCUCAGUUUUUCCGGCUUUUCUGUUUUUUCUAUUGCUCUUUGAUUCUCACUCAGUCUCAGUUUCUUGCUCUUUAUUGCUCUUUGUCUUCCUGCCCGCUGGUCAAUAUUUCUCUCCUUGUAUCUCUAUGUUUCCAUCGUUUCUCUUUUUCUCACCUCCCCCUGUUCUAACCCCCAUCAAGGGAGGGCGAGCAGAGUCCAUCACCAGAAUGAGAAAACAGCAUCUCGAUGCUCAGGGGUUGUUAUUUUGGCCAGGAGUGCUUCAGUAAUAAUAUGUGGUCUGCUCUCUGAUGUUGGCCUGGUCCAAAGGUGGACCUCAACAGCCCAUUAAUCUUUGUGGCACGCAAACAUCCAUGUAUUCUGUACACACUUACAUCAGCCUCUGUGUGUCCAUCUAGUAUACACAUGAAUGCACAAAAAAAACAUAUAUCCCCUCCUCUCGGCUUCUCCUGCAUCACUUACUACAUCCAGUUGACCCAAGCUCUGGGAAAACAGGUUUAGUAAUGGGAUCAGUGGCCACUGGCAGGCCUUUUCACCCACAAUCUCAUCACCUCUGCUUACAGUAAGUGGAUGAGAGACAGGAGACUGAAAGGAGGAGCGAUGGAGGGUGAGGAAAUGCACUAAUUCAAGGCUCCUGGUGGGUUGGCUCUUUUUGUUCCAGUGGUCUAUGAAUCAGUGGCAGCAGUUAAAGAGAAAGAAAAAAGGCCCAUGACAGGGUAGAAGGCCUCUGUGGAGUACACACUGGUAUGUUUGCGCCAUUCUUUAUCCUCAUCAUCCAACGUGUCCCCUCAGUUCAUCUAUGUAAGGACUAAAGCAUGAUUAAAAGGGGUCGUAUUGUUUUUUCUUCUUUUUUUUUCAGACUCAAAACUUCCUCUCUGAUUCCUCUUUAAUAGCUUUACAUGAUGUUCAAAUUUAAAAUAAUAAUAAUAAUUAAAAAAAAAAUAAUAAUAAUAAUAAAAAUCAAGCCCCACAUUUCUCACAGUGGUGUAUUAUAAUAUUAUUUAAGUUUCUUUCUAAAAUGCUUCCAUUUAGCUGCCAUCUUUUUAAGGCCCCCCUCCUUAAGCCUACUUUUAUUUCUGAUUGGCCACCUCACUAGUCUUUUCAUUGAUAUAGGAGUCAAAAGCGUUAUGCUUCCCCUCAACCUCCCCCAUGCAAAAAUGGUAUGGUCCAUCAUUUCCCCCUAACCUCAAAAGUUCAGACCCUGCCUCCCUGCUGUUCUCAUAAAUUGAUCACAUAAAAUCUAGCAAAAUAAUGGUACUGGGAAAAAUAAAAGAGAUAAGUCUGUAAGUAUUGAUGAACAUCUUUUAAAGUCAUGAAAUAAACAAUGAAAAUAAAGCAGCCGAUGAUAAUCACAUGUGUUAAGGUCCACCAUUUUAGGAUUGGUCUUUGAAAUACAUCAAACAAUGAGUUUGGGUAGACCUGCUCUUUUGUAAAGUGUCUUGGUAUAACAACUGUUGUGAUUUGGCGCAAUAUAAAUAUAAAUUGAUUGAUUGAUUGAUUUUCAAAGGGUGGUUUGCUUUCACGGGUCCUGUUUCUUUGGGCUGCCCAAUAAGAAAUGUUAGGACACCAGGAAAGACAUGGAUUCCCAGGAGCAAAAGGUGACCUCUGAAGUAGAGAAGCCCAUUUUACAAAUACACUGACCACAUGAGAAUUCCCGAUCAUCAAUCAGGACAGUAAAAAGGAGCACAAGUCAUUUAUCUUCACUCGUAAUGCAUCUUUCCCAGGAACAGAGCUCCACAAGGAGACAGGAAGCAGUUUGAGGACCAAGAUACUUUGAUGGAAGUGGAAGGAUGUAGUCUGUCAUAUACCUUGAAAGCUUUCUAUAAACAUUUCAAGAAACACUGUACCUCACUGUUUGAACACUGAGUAGACCAGCUCUCAUUUUCAUGUCAGCUAUAGGCUUUGCUUAAAAAUACAUCAGUCAGAGAGAUGAAGGAGAAAGCCUUCAGAGGCGCUGGAAGAGAAGAACCAAACGGGGAUUCAUUGACAGAUUUGCCCUUUGCUCCCAGCUGUUACACACGUCCUUCAAAGAGAAAGUCACAAAGAAGGCGUAGCAUGAUUUCUGUAUUGAUAUGCUCUCAAACGGCAUGGAUACAUGAGCCUUUCUGCUCCCUGUAAAUGGCUUUUUUUUUUUAAGUUAACGGCCCUUGUUUUAAUAAAAAGGUUGAAAAAGGAUCCCAUGGUGGGUUGAAAUCACAAUUGCCAGUGAGCUGUGGUGCAUGGGAUCAAGCACUGCUGCAACACAAAAAAGAAAAGAAAAAAAAAACUGAAAGCAGGGCAGGAACAGUGAGGUUACCGACAAAUCUAAUUAGAUGGAAAAGAAGCUGUGAUAGCAGGGAGAGGGCUGGAGAGAGAAGCAGGGAGAGACAAUGCCAGAGGGCAGGCUGACUCACUUAUCAUCACAUUCCUUAUUCUGUCUUAAACUCCUUGGGACGUUUUUGGACUUCUGUAAACACCUUCCAAGUUUGUUGAUUGAGCGCAAAAAUAGAUUUGAUCAUGAUAAACUUUUUAAAGACAGAAGGUUGCUUAACAGGAGGUGCUCUCCCCCCUCAAACUCUCUAUGUGCAAGCUACACUACUUGAUCUGGCUCCAGAAGGUUACUUUCGGGAGGUUAAAAGAACCAAAGCAAGCUUUUAAGUUAUUAGGAGAUAAAUCUGUUUCAAAGAUGACAGUGGCGCUUUGAUUUUCAGUCCAGAGAACAAGGACAACAGGACUUUCAUCUACCUUUUUGAUUUGAUUAAACUGAAAUCGAUGUGCAGCUGUAACGAUCUGACCCAGGCUGACUCAGCCACAAAACUUAAACAUCACUAAAACUUUAAACUGUUAAAUAACCCGCAAAAAAGGUCAGCUCCAGUCCAUGCAGUGGUCUAUCAAAAGUUAAGUGUGCCUCAUGGAUCAGGAGGGAAAAAAACAACUCCUGCAGACUUAAGACUCAGUGGCAUCUGCUUACUUUUUCUCUUGGCCCCAUAAGUGCCCUUUGCUUACCAUGUCAAGAGUUGGAUGGUACAACAUUAUCCCCGGGCAGCGGGUCACUUUUUCAAAUACGGUAAAAUCAGGAAAAUGUCAUAGUGGAUGAAAAGCGGACACGUAGUUUACACAACUGCAUUUCAUUGUCAUCCUCCGUUAGAUCAAAAACUCCAACAAGACCUCCAGAGACUUGUGCCAAAAUUUAGCUAACGAACUGAACAAUCUUCAAACUUCCCAAAAAACAAGGCGUCAUGUGACAGACGACACAGACUGGAUGUAAAAGUGGAUGGAAGGCAGGUCUCUUCUUAUUUCCCACACUCCCCACCCAUCCAGGCUGUCGGCCCCCUGACUACUUCUGUUUAGUAGAUGACUGCAGAGUAGUGGCUGCUGCAGGAUGUUCUGGUUGUUGCAGUAUCUCCUUUUUUUUUUCUUUAUGAGUCCUCUGUAUGUUUUGUAAUGGAGCCGAAAACUGAACACAAACAAAUGUUGGCCUGAGAUGCAUGGAGUUUUGGGCUCAAGCACCAACAGCCCCAUGUGUAUCAAGUGGAACAUUUGAGCUCAUCAGCCAUUAAGUAUCAAAUAGCUGAAAUAUGGACCCAGUUUGUUCCCCCAAGAUUUGUCGUGUUCCCCCUGUCUUAUCUUCCUCUCCCUUUGUUCUUUUGUACAAUUUGUGAACACAGGAAACAUCAUGUUUUAGUCGAGGAUUGAGCAGGCUAAUUUAACUAAGUCCCAAAAAUGAGAUCAAUGUUAAUUUCAUGAUUACCCUCUUGAUAAAUGCAUCCACUCGUUUGUCUAUUUGGCAGUUGGUAAAGAUAAAUCUUUGAUCUCUAAUUUAAGCAUUUGAAGUCUGCUGUUGUCUGUUAAUUCUAUUGCUGCUUGUCUCCAAAUAGUCUUUUUAUCCGUCUCUUUCCCGGCCUUCCUGGUACAUGCAAUUCAGGCAGAUAGCUAUCUACUGAUGAGUUUGGUUCUGUUGGUGCUUUCUGCCUUUUACCCCUUGAUUAUAAUGAAAUGUGACGUUCACACCAGACUUGUGUAAAACCAUUUGUGUGGGUGAAUUUCAAUUUUCAUUUUAUGUAAAGUCAAGGUAGAGAUGCAAUUAGACACAAGUUCUUGUUGGGUGUCUCAUACCCUUUCUUAAAGUAUCUUCCUACUCUGAUCAUGAAACACCAAAUCUAGCCCACAUUCAGUAUGUUUCACAAUGAAGAGAGCAUGUCAGACAUAGCAUAGAGCAGUGUUUCCCCUAUAGUGCAUUUGGCAGGGCCCUGCCAAUGGAUGUCCCCGCCCUGCCAACGAGAUCCCAACCCAGAAAUUAAAGUCAUAGAUUAAUAUAUACCUUUCGUUUUUUAUAUAAAUCAAAACGGCCAAUAGAAUAUAAUCUGCACAAUUUCAGAUGUUAAAGAUUGCAACCGUUUCAUUACUUUUAAGAAAAAUGUAUCUCUCCACUACAUACACACGUGCUGACAAGACGCACCGCUUAGUUCAGAGGCACGGCUUGUCAGCACCAUUGAUUCUGGUUUUCUGGUGAGCGCUUGCCGCUCGUGCACUGCCAGUUUUGCACAGGAUGAAUUUGACAACCUGGGGUUCUGGCUCCUUUCCAUCUUAUUUGCCCCCAACAAAACUAUAAAAAACUGGUCAUGGAUCACCGAACUAUCCCCGAUCAUUCAGCACCCCAAUUGAAAAUAUCUGCAAACUUUAAAAAGACGGUAUGUAGUGAUGUGGAUGCCGCAUAUUCUCAUGUGGAUGCUAGCUUAAGCAUCUCUCCCAGCCCUGAAAACAGUGCCAGCUCAUCUGGCGCCACCAUGUCAUAUGGGGUGAUGUAUGUCAACGUCAUGACACCCCACCCCCACCUCACCCCGCCAAAGCGAAAAAGCUGGGGGAAACACUAUAGAGCUUCUGUUGAACUAAGAAAACCCACCCUAUACAGUACAGCCUCAAAAGUGGAAGGCAAAUACAUUAAAACACUGUAAAAAGAGACACUUUGACUGCUUAGCAUAGUCACCCAUGGUAGAAGCAGGUCAAAACAUGAUGAAACAAACAUGCUAACCUCGUUUAUGCGUAUUUACUGUAUGCAUUGUUGUCAUUGUGUGAUUUAGUUUUAUUUCAAGUUCUAAUAUGACUUUGUAAUCUGAAAAUCCAGCCUCCUUGAGCUUCGGUCUGCGGUGAUUCAAACAUUUUCCAGGUGGUGCAGAGCAUGGUGUCAGACCAUGCAGAAAUGUGGCGCACAUGUUUGCUGAGGAGUCAAGGGGUUGAAGGAAGUUUUUCUCGUCUUGGUUGCCAAAUUAUUGCUCAUUUAAGGAUCACCUCUGAGUUCUUUAAAAACAUAAAAUUAGAGGUACAGAACAUCUUUAUGUUACAGUAUGAUGAGUUAACUUUACUGUGUUUCUGAGAUACAUUAAGGAAAGUUUAUUGAUUUUUACAAGAUUUUUAAUAAGCAUACUUUUCCAAAGCCUCUAGCAGCUUAUAUGGUAAAAUAAAUUCAUUUUGCAUUUCUGUAAGCUCAAGCUUCCCUGCAAAGAGGCAUCAAUAGUAGGAUGUGUUGCUUAAAUAGCUCAGCAUGCUGCAGAGAUACUCUACCAGGUUGCUAGGGUCUCACAUAGAGUAUCAUCAUCAAUUAGCACAUGGUUGUCAGAGGCAGCUGCCAUCUUCUGGGCUCUGAUGUUGGCUCGCUGCUAGCAUGUGAAGCCAGGGAGACCUUUUUGUUUGAAAUUAAAACAUAGGGAUAUACCAAGCAUUUCCUCACAAACAAGGUUUUGAUAUGAAUGUGAGGUUGUUAAAUAUUGAACAGCAAAGUCCAUGGCAUUCUGUCCAUAAGGAGACCAGAGGGGGGAAAUGUCUAAUCGCCCUUGAAAAGGUAGUGCCACAGUUUUUUAAUAUAUUCUGCCCUGAUGCCCAGAAGAGUUGCAGCAGGGUGGGUGGAGUGGGGAGGUGCUGCCGGGUGGCAAGGCUGCUGUCGGUGCCGGGUGAUGGGGCAUUACUCUCGCGCCAUUGACUUCAUUACAGCCCCUCUCACAUAUCCAUCCCUCACCCCUCUCUAAAUGCCCUUGCCAGCCUCUAAUUCACUUAAUUCCUUGAUUAUCAAUUCUGACCGCAUUCGGGCAGAAAGGUCACUUUUUAUGCUGUGUACCUUAACUUCUACUACACCGACGCAAAAAAAACAAAAGCUACAUCUAAGCCCUGCCAAAAGGUUGGAAACAUGAAAAAUUGCAAUCGUACGCUACCAGUUGGUUCCAUUAAAUUUUCAUUGUUCACACACUUGCAGGCAUAUUGUAGAAGAACACACGGAGUGGUAUGCAUCAGAACACACAAGGACAGGGAAAAAGGGCAUGAACACCUCAGUUAUACACUUGCUACUAACACCCACCCCUCUCUCUCCCUCUCUUUUCUCUUUGCCCAUCCUUUUGAUGAGAUCGAGGUUGCCAUGGCGUGACUGUACGCGGCAGACGCACGAACAAGUGUUUCCCCCUGAGGAGAUGCGAUCUAAAUGGGAAAGCAACAUGACAGCUUUGCUCUGAACGGCCACAUAAUCAAACACCACACCCACAGUUACACACCAGCACUUCUGUUGGGGAGGCUUUCCACUCUGCGCUUCCUGCCUGUGAAAUAUACAGUACAAUCUCCCAGCAUCUGAAAAUCCUGCAUCUGUGCUAGAUUGUCCUUUUGUCCUCAGAGGGAUUAUUUAAGCUCCACUUUUUAAAGUUUUGGUUUUUCACUUUUAGUUUUCUGCACUUUUUCCCAAGUGUGUUCUUUAUUUUUUUCAUAUUUUUAGGAGUUUAUAACCAGUUUGUUUUGGCUAAACUUUUAAAAGAAAAGUAUUGAUCACUGGAAGCCAAUCUUUCAGUAAAGCAUGCCUCAGUAUCAUUUAUAGCUGAGCAUGUCACAUAAUCUGUAACACAUCCCUGAUUCUUGCACUCUGCUGACUGCUCUGAUACUUUUGCCACAGCAGCUUUUAUUGAAGCAAAACGUCAGUCUGCUGGGCUUUUUUCGACUCAUGCUCAGUCUGGUAUUGAAGCGGCGUGGGCAUCUCUGGCAUGUCUGAGCACGUCUUUAUGUUGGAUGGUGAGGUUUAAUUUUAGAUUCCCUGCUCUUUUUCCUUGCCAUUCAAACCACAAACAAUUAUUUCAAAAUAUGCUAAACACAUAAUUUAUUGUAAAUAUUUGUAGGCACAAACCCCAAGUCUUUUUCUGGGGAAGACUGCAUAAGAUUUUAAAAUAUAAAAAUAUAAUCAGACUAUAUUAACUUUGUGUGAUAUAUAUAUGUAGUAUAUUGAUGUCGACUGUAUAUAAAAAUAUAUAGUGAUAAACCUUUUCCCAUAUCGCCCAGCCCUGCCUACAAUGGAAGCAUUGCUCCAGUUUUAAUGGUGCUUGUCCAAUUCCAGCUACCCUUACGUUAUCCCUGUAACGUAUCAGCAUCUCUGUCUUUUAAGAUGUGUGCUGGUAAGUACAGAGGUGUUUCCUUUCCUCUUUAGGUAGAGGAGAAGGUGUUACAUCCAAGAUAAAAUAAAAAAAAAAAAAAAUAAAUAAAUAAAAAGGAUUCAAUUCAGACAUUCAAUAAUUACAUCUCAGUCCAUCAGCAGUAACUGGUGUAUUUGGACCAUUAAGAAUGGUUUCAUCUUUGCAUUUCGGAAUUUUUGCCAACAUUUAAAAUUGCGUUACAAACAAUGGUUUUGGGAGUGAUGAUGAGUCCAUCACUGUUUAAAUACAGUUCUGCCUGAGGUCCUGAAGAUCACAGCUUCCCAGUAAUGGUUGGUGGUCAUGUCCCUUUUGUAUGUAUAGAGAUCUCAAACCAAGUCUCUGAAUCUUUAGUGAUAUGGUGCACCAAAAGUGUAGGGGUAGAGACCCCUAAAAUCUGAUCGGUCACAGUCGCACCACGCUCUUUGACUGGCUAUUUGCUUAGUAAGAUGUGCCACUUUUGUUCCAAUCAACUAUUUGUAUCUGAAUUUCAAUGGACCGUAUAGAUGAUGAAAUCCCCAAGUUCUGUAUAGUUUCAAGCCUGCAACAGGAUAAACCUAAUCUGCUCUCCUCUCCGUGAAGUAUUUCCCAUGUCUCUGGUUAUAUUUCAUUGAGCAGUUAGAUGCUGGAGUUAUCGCCAAUUAAAAUGUUUAUUAAAGCAGACUAAAUGGUCACAGAAGCAAAAUCAGGGUCAGUUUGGCAAACCGCAACAGUUAGAUGAAAAGAAUUUCUAAACUGGCACUAAACGAGUCCUGCAGCAUCAUCCAUGUAGGAGAGGUGAUAUAUCAUAAAUCUGCAAGCUGCCGUCUGUAAGGCGAGGAUUUGACUCAAUCCACAUUCCUAAAGCUGUCAUUUCAGGCAAAUGCAGAUACGCUGCUGUACUUCAGCAUCUUGUUUCUUUUUUAAGCAUUUUGUGUGAACAGGCACUUGUAUGUGAGUGCAGACCCAAGAUAAACAUGCAUAUGUGUCUGGGAGUGAGAGUUUGUGUGACAGGUGGAGGAAGUGUUUUUUUAAGAGACAGGAGUGUGUGCCUGUGUUUGUCAAUGUGUGCAUCAAUAUGGGUGAAUUUACCUAGAUGUGUGAAGAGUAAAGUUUGAUGGUAAUACCUGACACUCUGGUGCUGGAAAUCCCAUGUUAACACACGCUUAUGGUACAAAAACACACACUGUGUUCAAAGCUCUCCCCAGCCUCUGACAGCUUGGCUGGGGAGAUUCGGCUGAUUCAUCUGAAUAAUUUGGCUUUACCCCUCCCUCUUGUUUCUUCUCUCCCUGUUUUCUUCAUCAAUCUCAUUUAAUCAGUCAUUUCCACCUGAGGAGGAUUCUGCCCACCUGCUCCCUUUUUCACAAAGUAAAAACUUUGUCACUGCAAUAACUGAAGGGAACCGUGGUAUCUUAUUGUUAUUGGUAUUACAGGGUAUUAAGUGAAACACAGGUGUUUGUUAUCACUUCUUUUCACUCAAAAGUUCUUUUCACUCAAAAGUUUGAGUGUGCACACAUAUACAUGCAUGUGUGUGUAAGUUCACUCUGGUGCCAAUAUAAAUACAACUACACUCCUGGCAGAGACACACCUGGGGUCAACAGGUCAGAGGUUUCGAUUACUGACAACAACACAGGUGAAGAAACGCUCAUCAGGAAGUAGAAAACAUUUGGUUCUGUAUUUACCUCUGGGCAUCAUCAGUGUUGCAUCUCCAGCUCUCUGGUGGUGUUGCACUUCAUGGGUGUUGUGAGUCUUUCCAAACCAGGGAGCACAGAGCCAAAUUACAACCAAGCAGAAACAGACCAAACACUUAACUAAGUGAAAGUCCUGGGUAAUAUGUUUUUCCUCUCAUUAGGCUAUAAUCAUAUAACCUAAGACAACAGUUGGUACAUUUGCAUUCUGAUCAAAAUACUUUUUUCAUUCCCUUAGUCCUGCUGAAACAGAACUGUUAUAAAACAUGUAAACACAUCAGUGCUGAAAGUUUAAUAAACCCAGCUUAGGUGUGUAUCAAGUGUCUCUGUGAAGUGGUUAUGUGCAGUGGAUCUGUAGCUACCAUAAACUGUACAAUAACUGGACCUGGUGUUGAUGAUGUCACCCAUUUGUUUAUGAAGAAGAGUUUCAACCAUAGACUGUAUCUAGAAUAGACCCCGCUGCCUCCUCGCUGGGUGAAGCCACCACGAGGAUCGCACCCUCUGGUGACAGGCUGCAGUAUAGGUCAUUAAUCUGUGGACAAACUUUAGAAAUUAAUAUCACGGAAUAUAAAUUUUUCUCCCUGCUGGUUGCGAUGUUGACAUGUAGUUACUUUAAGACUGGUUUGUGCUCAAGUCCUCUUUUUUUCUGUGCAGCUCCAUUUGAAAAGUUGUUAGGGGGUUCAUGUUUUCUAUGAUUGACACUUGAUACAGCCUAUGGCCGUAUGAAGAUUGCGUAGCUCACCCCCGUUUGAGCAGAGUGUCAUCACAGCAACUCUUCCGCCGAAUGCAUACAACGCUACUGUGCAAGUGGUGGUUCCAGGAAGUGGAGAAAAUCCCAGAAAUAAAGAGAGCAAUUCGGCUUCAAAUUCGUUUAAUGAUGAAAGGCAGAGCCAAGUUGUUCAUAGUAUAUACAGUCAAUGGUUUCAACCCCAUCAGUGGCAGUCACCAUGUUGUAAAUACUGACUCAACUUUUAGUAACUUUUAGUCAACCUACCAGAGACAGGCCUUUAGCUUCCUAACAAGUAGCUACAGUGUGAUUUCCUAUCAGUUAAGUCGGCCGUGCCUCCAAUUCGCUGAACUAGUAACCUUUAAAACGAAAAAAAAAAAAAAACAUACAGUGAGUGCCAUAAGAGCACUCCCUGGCUAUUCAGCCAAAAGACACCUUUGGAAGUGAAUGUUUAUUUUUGCCCUGAAAACAGGCAUACAUGUGUGUACAUGGAUUCUAGUGCAACUGCAGCCAGCCUUAAGCAGGCACUCGGGGAACAAUAGCACUUUCACUUCAGCUUCAUUUCUCAAGAGCAGAGGUUGCUGCUUGAUCUGUACGUACUUCGUAACUACCUGAGCUACUCCUUUGAGCUCUGCUAUUAUCCUGGUAGCUAGCAUGAUGGUGAAAUUAUUCUGUUCUAUUCUAAAAUAGUUAACACUGAAAAGAGCUUCACAGUAACACACAAACUGAAAGUAAUGAAAGUCCUCACACAGGAUGACAACUUAAAACAGAGCCCCCCAACAGGCCUGGACCCCAAAAAGUCUUUCCUUGUUGAUGUCUUCCUCUGCCCGGCCAGAUAACCCAUUAUACUUAGAGGUUAUGAGCUGGAACCUGGGAUGGCGAGUUAGAUUAGGUGCGAUCCCACCUCAUGGAGAUGCCCUGUUUCACUGCUGGCUUGUACUUUGUGAAAUACAAAGAACUGAAAUUGUACUUUGUGCCAACCCCAUCAUCUUUGACAGCUGAAUGCAAAUCAUUUGAAUAUACACAUAAGACCAUAAUGUGCUUUUGUGGUAAACGUCAGUGCAUUGAGUGCAAGUAUAUAGGAGGUUUGAGAGCAGGCUUUAUCCACACACCUUCCUCUCCUGCUCAGGUGCUUUGUGCCAGGCACUUCAUUAGGCUCGCUCUGCAGAUGGACGCUGAUGGAUCCAGGCUUUUUGAGCCUCAUUCUUUGUGACUUGUUGUUCAUUAAAAACAAAUUAAGUGUCAGGAAGCAUAACUUGUGCGUUCUGUAGUGCAGUUAUUGCUCAACAAGCUCUUUGUCUUGCAUCAGUGCAUGUCUGUGUUUGUCCUGCAGUCUGCCAGGCCAGUGCAGCUCAGUUUGUGCAUCAGAAGGCUACAUUUGUGAUAUAGUGCUUCAACUGAUAUCCCAAAAAAUUGGGUAUCAAUUAAAACGUCCUAGUCUUGUUGGUGGUCUGCAUGAGUGCCCACAACAUAAUAAAGCACGAGGUUGAGAAAGGAUACUCUGUCUUAAAUCUAUCUAAUUGAAUCAAGUCUCUGCUGUGCUAUCUUGAGGCCAGCAGCAUAAUGUUUAUUUUUUACCUUUUACUGUCAUGUGACACACAGAUUUGCUACUGUUUCUGCAUGCACAAUGGUCAGUUCUCUGAGUACAAGUGAAGUGCUGCAGGAAAGAUGGAUUGGAUCAGUCACAAAAAUGAGAAAGUGUGAGAGUUUGAUGUGUUUUAAGUCAUAUGUUGAACAUCACAUAUCCUUACAGUUGAGAGGGUACCUGACAGGGUGUACAUCCAGAUCAAAUUGUAUCACCAGUUACGAUUCCUCCAUUUACCCAUUUCUUUGAUUUGUCAGCAGUGAAUCUGAUCAAGACCACCUCAGAUCUUUGUUCUAGAUCACAUAAUCACUAGAUUAAGAAAGAUGAGAAGGCAGAGGAUUUGGAUCAUCAGUCCUUCUAAUACCUACAAAGAAAAACAUUAGACCCUGUACUUUUGACUGGGCUCCAUUUCAAGAUAAAAGCAUGGGAUAAAAAUACUGAUAGAGGAGUUAAUGGUUUGAAGAGCUCAAUUACGGUACUUUUGGGUUAUUUUUUUGCACUCAUGUAAAUCUAAGUUUAGUGCUGCGUGUGGGUCUGUCGUGUUUGUUUCCCUCCCAGUUUUUCUUUUCUUCUCUUUUGUCUAUUUUGCCUUCAUAUCAGCCUUCAGCCAGCUGUGGCUCACUGAAUAAGCAGGUCUCCAUCUAUUCAUUAGGUAGCGGGUUGAAUCCUUGUCAAGCAUUCAAACAAAUCUAAAUACAUUUGGCCAGAUGCUAAGGCCUACCUGCAACAGAGUUUGAUCCAAAAAGCCAACUGAACCUGGUUGAAGAUCUUGAGGAUAUUUCACUUCUCGUCUGAAAGGCCUCUUUAGUUUUAAUCUAUCUAAUCAUGAACUUGACUUGAAGUACAUAAAUUUGCCAUAUUUAGACCACUAAACACUGGGGUGAAGUGGAAAGUAGGGGAGAGUGGGUUGAUUUGUGCCAGGGGGGAAGUAGUGCCACCCCUGUUAUCAAGAAAACCACAGAAGAAAUUGGUCAUGUGACCAUGUUUCAAGAGGCUUUCAUUUUAAUCAUCCUGCAAAGAAGGGAGCACUUUUUUAAAUAUUUAUUUAUUAAUUUUCCUGCUUCCUAACUUUAGCAAAGAUGCGCUCGACAUGCUUCUGGGACGGGGCAGAGACACUUCCUGUGGAAUAUGCGACAUUGAUAAGAAUGAAAACACAUUUGCAUGAUGCUGAUGGAACGUGCUCAACAUGGAUCCUGUGGAAUAUGAACUUAAGAAUCCCUCUCCUGACCCUUCUCUAUAGCCAAAAGCCCCUACAAUGGGCAUGUAGGAUUAGAACUAGACCACAGAGCAGUGUAAGAAAGUGUAUUGAAGGAACAUGACAAUGAGUUUCAGGUGUAGACUUGGCCUCCACAUUCCCUGGAUCUCCAUCCAAUCAAGCAUCUGUGGGAUUUUACAUUUAGCAUGUACUAAAUCCAACCCAUGGGGGGACCACCUUACGACUUACAGGACCCAACUUAAAGAGGAUCUGCUGCAGGCAUCUUGGGUGCAAUCCAAGCCAGGGCCAGACAGCUGUACAUCAUUAGGAAGGGUGUCAUUAUGAAAUGGCUGAUUGGUAAUAAGCUGUGGGUCUUGGCUAUGCUGAGGAUUGCUUCAAAAUGGCCAUACACAGAGCUACUGGCCUAGCUUCUCCUGACAUUAUUCACACCUUAUACAGUAGGAAGGUCAAUAAAAGGACUACCAUCCAGUUUCUACAAUCACAAACAUACCCAAGGCUAAUGAGGCUUUCUGCUCCUGUCCGCAUGUCAGUUUAGACCUAAGAUAAGAGUUGAAUGACUCCAAGAAUUUCAUCCAAGUCCUGAUGGUUUUUGGUUCAAACCCAGACUUAAAGGGAUAUUCUGGCGUAAAUUUUAGUUAUGGUCAAACACACCAUAACACUGAGUUAGACACCCCUCUAGGAGAGAUGAUUGUAAUAAUUUAUGAUUAUUACUUCAUGGGAAUUCAAUCAGACCGAGACACUAAGGCAGAAGAACUACCAUGUCUGCAGUGCAAGAUACACAAUAACUACACAAGAUACACAACAACUCUGAUUGCUUUUCCAUGAAAUAAUCAUAAAUGUUCUUCCUUGAACUCCGAAACUCCUCUGGACUCGGUGAUCGACUUGUCAGGGCUCCCCCACAAACAAGCGGCUGCUGAAAGAGAGUGGGUGAGUUGUGUUUAGUCUCUUUGCCAAAGGAACCAGGCAAAGCUAAACAGAUGUUUGAUGGUUAGUACUAUGGCUGGGACCCUAUAUGUACUGCUGAUGAAGUUAGGUGCUGUUCUGAGCAUUAAUUGUGACUAUAGAGUGGCUUUCUGGUUGAGAUUUGCAUGUGGAGGCGUAGACUGCUAUAUAUUGCUAUUGUGUGGUCAUUGCUAAAGUUGUUAGAACUAGAGAAGCAAGAACUUGGUGUUAUGGUGUGUUUGACCAUAACUUAAAUUUACACCGGAAUAUGCCUUUAAAUGACCUUAACAAGGACCCACACAUGGCAUGUCAAUAAGAAGGACAUUCUCUCUGUUUUUAUGUGGGACUGUUUGUUUGGAUGAGUCAAAUUACAAAAGAAAAAAAAAUCUGUGAGGUGUUUUGGUGACUGUCUGCAGUAUAACAGAGUCAAGGGUCAUGUAAGCGUGCUCUAAUAAAAAAGGAGACAGACAAAAGGUGUACGAACACAGCACAGACAUGGUUAGCUGAAGACCUCAGGGUUGAUGACAGAUCCUUUUCUGACAUCCAAACUGUAGUUCACAGAACUUUAGCAUAGAACUGGUUUGAGACCACUUCUCCUGGAGGACCUCCUCCUGCAUUUUAAAAUGUUGUUACACAAACAUGCCCUUGAUGUGUAAUUCUGAUCAAUCACUCAGUUAACUCCAUUUUGACAUCAAUUGUUACCAGCAUGACUCCAGCUGGAUUAUAAACAGUUCAUAAAUGUUAUUGCCUUUGAUUUCAGCUUCAGCUCCACCAUUAUUGAAUUAGCUACCUCAGAUCAAUAGCAAUGUUAUCACAGAGCCCCAGGUGAGCAAGAUAUAAAGAGAAUAUCAGGUGUGACAACAUCGCCUGGAACACCAAUUGAGUUAGCCCCUCUCCUUUUCUUACAGCUGACCACAUAUUGACUGCUGGUGAGGGAGGAGAAUUGAUCUCCUUUUGCUGCUCAUUCUCACUCAGAGGUGACUUAACAUGGGAGUCAGCUAAAGGCAAUCACAGGAAAUGGGUAGUAGUCAGAGGAUGGGAAACAACGAGAGGGAGAUGUGCAGAGGAAUUAAGAGAUCCUGAGGGGAGUGGGGUUGUCUCAAAUUGGAGGUAUGUGGGGGAUCUGUGGUAAUCAAGGAGAUGGAAUACUGACUCAAGCUCUGCCAAACUAUAAGCAACUUCUGAAACCAUGACGGGGUGCCAGAACUGGGAAAGCAGUUGUUAGCUAUCUGAUAUAUAAAACGGGCAAAUGUGUGGUGUAAUAACCCAACAACUUAAAAUUUCAACCUAUAAAAUACUUUAAAUCCAUGUCUAAGCCUCAUCCUUUAAGAUCAGACCUACUCCCAUCCCAUCUUCAAACACGAGUAGGUCACUUUACAGAGAGUUUAAGGGAGUUACAGUUGAGACUUCGUUUAACAGGCAGAAACCUUAAGCAGAACCAGACUGAUGUUAGACAGUCAUCUGCUGAGACUGAGCUGGAAUUUAGAGAGGAGAGAGAGAGAAAGAGAUGGACAGAGGAGAGACUGAAAGAGGGAGAUGGAGAAAGAAAGUCCUUGUGGGCUGGUUACAACAUCCUGCUAACUUUCCAGGGUGCAUCCCAGACACCUUUUAAAGUUUGAUUUUGUCCUGUUCUCCUCUUCAGCUGUUCUUUUACACAUUCAACAUGUUGCGCUGCUCUUGUUGCACUGGGAAUAAAACCUUUGAAAGCAGAGUGUGAGAUUCAUGGAACUGCUCUAUGUAUCCUGGCAGGAAAUGUUGCUGAAUAAGUCAGCACGAUAACCUGCAUGCAGGUGAACAUGUGCCAGCUGUAGCUCAAAAGUGAAUAAAUGAUCAGGGCCUUUUACUACAAACUAAGAAAAAAGUAACACUCUUUAUUCAUAAGUAAGUCCGGGUCCUCCUCUACGUACUCCAAUCCUUACUGCAGUCAUUUCUGGAUCACCGUUAUGAGUACAUGUGAAAAUCAGGACUGAAGUCUGGCAGUAGUACAAUAACAAUGUUCGCGGGCUUAGCAAAGAUCUUUAAAAAAGCAGGGUGUCAUGAAUUUGAGAAAAAAGAAAUGAUGCUUCCAAUGCAAAUAAGUGUGGAUCUGGCUCAAGGCUGUUUGAUUAAAGACUCCAGUCUCCAUAAUGACUAGGAUGCUACAUUUAGCAGCUAUGGUUACUGUAUUUAAACUGCAUAUUGAGCCUUGUGCAGAAAUGGAGAAAGGACUUUCUAUAUGAUGGUUAAAGUCAUGUGAAAUGUGUCAAUCCAAAGUGAAUAGGCAAACCUUUCUUUUUGAAGGUUUGAUACACUGAUUUUAAAGCCCACACUGCAGCACAUGGUGCUUAUUUCUCAGUAUUUAGCUGAGUUUUUUUCAGAGUGAAAAUGAAUGAGACGUUACCUCACCUCUUAAUGCACUGUAACGAGGCAGAGGAAAGGAUGUGCUGGAGCUAUUUAGAGUUAAAAUCUCUUCCAUGUUAUUUCAAGAGUUUUUAUACCUAGAGUUACAGGUCUGUGAAGCACACACUGUUCUGGCUAGUGGCUUUAUGGCAGUAUGUUCCUCCAGCCCACAACAAACCUACAGUUGGAGCAUAUUGAUAACUCAGAGGCAAAACAAUCUGUGAAAUCCAUAGCAGUUUUUGAUGAAUGAUGCAAAGCAUUUCAAAAUCAAUCAGGAUUUCAAACGUGUUCUAGUGCAGUGCCAGCUUUAUUAAGAGUCCUUUUCAACACGAUGACAUUUUUAUUUUCUCUGCUUUCCUUGCACCUUGAUAUUCAUGUCAUGUCCUCAGAAAAGCCCUAACAGGGAAUAAUUGGGUCUUGUCAGCCAGCAGGAAAGUUAGACCAUCAAAGAUAAUUGCAUGCUAAUGUUCAAUAAGCCUUGUAAGUCGCUGCAGAUAAGUGUGGCUGCCAAACAGCCUUGCCAGGGGAAAGCACAUCUAAUCCCUUGGCUGUGGCCGGGGAAAAUUAAUACUAAGCUCCUCUGGCCAGCCGACUUCCAGAGUGGUGGUAGAAACAAUUACACAACGGACCACCAGAGCACAAUUAAUGAAUAACUGAGGAGCUGCCCAGAUGUACACUUUAUAACAAAGAUACAUCUACCCACUAGCCGUACAAACAAUUAAAAAUUGCACAGAAGGAGUGGAAGUGGGCUGUUUGUUCAAGUUCACUGGACGGUGGAGUUUAUGCAGAGGGACUGUGUUGUUGCAGGACUCUAAAAAGUCAUCAUUUUCAGCCCUCCACUCUGCUGUAGCUUCUGUUUACAUGGUGGCCUGUUUCUGUGUAAUAGCCUAUUAUAAUAUGCCACAGAAUAAACUAGGCAUAAAAAGCUAUCAUAGAACAAAAACUUGGCACAAGGGCUCCUCUAAAAGAUUACUUUUCCUUACUUGUUGGUAAGUAGGAACUUACUUAGUAUGUUUUAAAGGACAUUGGCUGUUAACAAUACCACAGGAUAUGAUACAAUACGAUAAUGCAUAACACAGCACAACAUGUUAAGCGUUUAAUUAAUACUCUGAAUAUUUAAGUCCAUUAUCCAUCUGUUAAAAGUAGAGUUGGUAAUCAUGGCAAACUGGCAUGGAAGUCCUUUAAAACAACGCUGCCGCUCACAUGCACAAACGCUGCUGUCUACUGAUUCAAAACCACAGACUCAAAACUUUGGUACUUUUGAUUGGGAAGUCUUUGCACUGCAGGGGGGACAAAGAAGGUAAUGUUCGCAUCGGAUGACUGCAUAACUAGCAACACGGCUAAAUACUCGAUCAAGAUUAAAAAAAUCACCCUGAAACAAACUCACAACGUACCUUUCAAACAGAAAAUGAGCGACCAUGGCAUCACUUUUAAAGGCCUUGACCUUUUUCAGUUCUCUCCAUGACUGAAAAGUUGUCCCCAUGUUGACUUUUAUUUUUGCCCUUGCUUUCUCCAAACUCUGUCUUGCUAUGGCCUUCUCUGCCACCGUCUUUCUUUUCUAGCAGAAGGAGUGGUCAACAAUUAAUCUUGGUCUAGGUAGUUUCUCUGCCAUUCUCCAGCAUAGCUGUAUCCCUCUAAGCUCGGCUAUGCACAUUGAAUCAGGGCCAGUGCACGCCAGUAGGAGGCGAGCACAUGAUUUGAUUGGUUUAAAAAUGUGGGACCCACACAAUGUGAUUGGUUGGUGUUUUCCGAGUUUUACUCCUGCUGUAGAUAGCGGCUAUGUUUUGCUCUUUUUUUGAGAACACAUCAUGUAUUGAUUACCAUCGGAAUAUUAAGAUCAAUUUGACCAGAAUAACAUAAAGUGUAUUUAAAUCUGAUUACCAACCCUACCAUUACAUAACUGAUAAUCCCAAAAAAAAAAAAAAAGGAAACACUGAGUUUGAAAAAAGCAUUUGUGAUUUUAUUCGAUUUUCUAAAAAAAAGUUACAAAUGGUCUCAAAAAACAGUACCUGCUAUGAUGUCAACAGGAUAUUAUAGUGCUAGAGGUGAUAAUAGUAGGAAAUUGAAGAAGAGACCAAGAUGGAACAGACUGUCUGGCAGGAAAUAAAAACAGGGAAUUAAAAAAGAGACAGCUGCUCUUUUAGAGGACGUCUUUUUUUGACAUUUAAGAAUUGGACAGAGGUUACCAUCAUCAAAUCACUUCAUUAGAAAUAAUAGCAAAGACAGAAGGCCAAAUUUAACGACAUCCAAUAACAGCUAAAUAAAACCAGAAUUCACUACCUAACUCCAUCUGAUAGACCUCUGGUUCUCUUCUCUUCUCAUGUUGAGUGGUUUUAUGAUUUAAAAUCUUGAAAACAUUAUUUAAAUAAUCUCUGUAUGUCCUUUUUUUCUAAUAAAGAUAUUAUUAAAAUGAAUAUUGAGUCAAAAAAUCUUACCACAGACUAGAAAACAAGUGCCCACACAAAGCCUCUAAAGAAAUCCGUUUGCUCAGGAGGAUGCUGAAACCACUUUCUGAUUCUCUAACUCUGUGUCUUCUCUGCAUUCGCCAACACAGCUGCUUGAAAGCGACGCGCGCACACACACACACACACACACACACACACACACACACACACACACACACACACACACACACACACACACACACACACACACACACACACACUAAAACAUGCAUGUCUGCCUUCACACCAGCAGCACAGUCCAUUUUGCCUGACCACUGCAGGCCUGGGCCACUUGGUUAUUUAUUGCUGUGUCCAAUAUUGUAUUACAAGAUGUAUAUGCUCUCCUCUCUAAUAAGAACAUAGAUUACAGGCAGCACUGAAUCCACUAUCUGCAUUCGAGCUGAUCGCUUGGCCUGCCCGUGAGUUAGCUUAUAUCUUUUUAAGCGUCAGCGCCUGGCUAUUUACAUUCAUCCGCUAAGCCUCAACACAAAUUAUAAUCGAUCUGGCUCGUGAUGAAAAGGGGUGGUCCUGCUGCAAAUUAAAAGCAUUGCAAGGUGACAAGGACAGCAGAAGCAUGACCACACAAUUCUCUUGGAGUACGGAGUGUAAUAAAAAUAGAAAAAUAAAAAAAAACCUUAAACCAAUAUGUCUUUGAAGGAUCAGCAGAAUGAGACAUUCCACAAACUUUAGGGCAGAGAUGGUUGUUGUGUGUUCUGCUCUGUGUUUUGUGUCACCUGCUUCUGUGAGCUGUCUACACUGAAGAAAAGAGAGGUUGCAAACAAAAGGCAAGUAUGCAUCCAUUUUAUAAACAGAAAAGAGCAGCUAAAUAGCAAUUGCAAAUUUCAGAACACAUGCAAAAUUCUCAAAUUAAAGCAACAGCUAAAACACACUGCAAAUGAAACCAUUCUUCAAAUCUAAUUCGAUGGAUUUACAUGGGGGGGGGGGGGGGGGGUGCUGCAAGGGGUUUUCAAAUGUUGUUCUAUGAUUGAUAAGACUGAAGAGACAUAGAGAGAUGAGAAUCCAUAACCCCUGAAUAAUUUUUUCUUCAUUGAUAGACUAAGUUGUUUUAGAUCAAUAGAGAAAUAAAGAGACAAUUUAGCCUUUUGCUUUCCUAAGAUGUUGGGGAUCAAGAAAAAAAAACUUUUACCCUCUAUUUUUAACCGUUUAGGUAAAAACAAAGCAAGUCUUGUAAUUUGGAAGAAUCACAACUAUUAAAGGAACAAAUCUGCAACUGUGAUUACUAUAUGCUGAUAUUGCUGUGUAAACCAAUGAGUGUAAGAGCACAUGUAAUGUUAUUGAUACUGUUAUUGUGAUCCUCAUCCUACGCAUCUCAAGUUCUGUUAUUUCCAAAAAGUCAAUCCACUUUGGAAGGUCAUUUUCUAAGGCUGCAGUGUCAAAGUCUUUCAGGUGCACAGCUGUCAUUUUACACCAAGACUAAAAAGAAAUGAUAAACAAAGACACAGAAUUUAAAUGUAAUAUCUCAGCACUCUUCAGAGUCUUUUUACUCAGGGUUAUUGGGCCUUCAACAAGUUGGGUUUGUGUGUUCUCACAGGCUUUGCCCUCAAGCGAUGCCUGAAGGUAUCUGGAUUUGCUGAAAUGCAUCUCAAGGAAAUGUUCAAAGCUAGAACCUGAAAAACAUGAGGAAGUUGGGUUUGUCACACAGCUCAGGGUAUAUAAUCGACAGUUUGUAUUAAAAAUAAAGCAGGAAAAAUCAAUUAGACUUCUUUGGUAAACUUUGAAAUCUUGUUAUAGCAUGUAGUGACAGCAUAGGUAACUCCAGCAGGACCAAUGAGGAGCAGUUCUUAACUCAGACAAUGAAACGCCUCUAGCAGUGUCCUCUUGUCAUCCUAACGUUCCUCCACACAGUCAGCCUGUCUGCAAGUCACUCUGUUCCAGCACUUUAAUGGAAUAAAUUUUCUCACCACGCUGACAGCUUCAGAUGUGUCUUUUGUAUGUAAUGUGCAUUUUCCUCAACAUCAAAUCAUGUCACCAUCUGACAGGCUGAGAAAAGGGAGCUACACACAUGUUGUUUGCUUGUGGAAUAAGAUGUUCAUUCUGGACACUUAAGUGAUUAUAAUGGAUUUGUUUUUCCCCAAAAUUCAAGAUGGUCUUUUUUUGUCUUGAUAGAAAUGGUGCUUUCUUCCAGCACCCAGCAGCACUCUUGACAUUGAUUGAGGUCUUAAAGACCUGUGGCUUAAGUGUGACUGAGCUCUGUGCCCUGAAUUUUGUCUUGUAUGGAAACUGACUGGGAAAAACUAUUAAGAGUUUCCCACUGAACAGUCAUCUCACACACAGAAAUGCAUGUGCUUGCACAUGUGUGCAACAAACAGAAACACACGCAUGCAUCCACCCCUACCCUCCACCUGUGGAAAGCACCGGCCUGCUGAGAAAUCAUUUCCCGGGCAAGCGAGCGAGGCAAUUCCGUCACAGCGAGGAGGGAGAAAAAGGCUUUUUUUAAUGGGGAAAAAUGGGAGGCAGGGGAAGAGUUAGCAGUAGCAGCCAGGAUAAUUGAUGGCAACUGUUUGGGUACAAGAUUAAGAUUCAUGGGUAGGACCACACAUGGGGGCUGGAAACCCGGCAGGCGCUGGAGGCAUGAAGGAUAUGAGGCAACACCUUGACUGGCCUGCUGGCUUAAUUGAUAGAGUGUCGUCCCAGAUGCGUGAUAGAAAAAAAGGAAAAACUAUCAGAAAGGAUUUCACUCACUGCGAGAUAGAGGCUGAAAUGGAUCCUUCACCUGGGCCUUACUUGAGAAAUGCUAAGAGAGAAGAGAGAUGGAAUAGGGAGGAAAAAGUGGUGGAAGCCCAGAGGCAAGAGAGGCAGGUUUGCAUGUGGAAGGUCAGCUGUUCUCAUCCCCUGACUUGCUGGGGGAAAAAAAAAAAACCUUGUGAGGAAAGUAUGAGUUACACUCUCCCAGUCUUCAACAACUGCCCUUGAGGAGCCUUUGAGCAGUUUGCUCAACACACAAUCAUCCCAGUGGAGGAGCCUGAGCCCCUGCUGUAGAAUCUAUAGAUGCUGCUGUGAAUGUGAGAAUAUGUUUGAAUGUGAAGUAAGAAGUUACAUGGAGCUGGGUGGACCUUUUUCUACCUGUAUCACCUUGUGUUUAAACAACAUGUUGCCCUCUUUACUAAGUGAUCACCUAUCAGUCAUUUCACAGAGUUCAAGGAAGACAAACAGCUUAUCCAGCUGCUAUACACAGGCUAAUCCUCUGUAGAUAACUGACCUACUGAACAGCUCACACCACCGCCCAUUAUCCUGUCCGCAUGCCUGGGCUGCUCUGUGAGUUAUUCCAGUUAAACCAGACACAACCUGAAGACAACUUUAUCUCCAUUUCUUUUUCAAAUCAAAGUACUUCCAGACUGUGCCAUGCUACAAAUAAAAGUUUGGCACAUUUGCAUGUUGACAUUUAAGCUGCAGCCCAUACACUAAUGUGACUAGUAUGCUGAUAUCUGAUGCAUGGAUUAUUACUUUUACCCUCAUUAAAAUUGUGCUUAAAAAGGCAAUUGGAGACUUUUUGAUGCAUAGAAUACUGUACAUAUUCCAGUUUUGCAGCUUUAUUUUAAAUAUUUUUAGCCUAUAUUUUCUCUAAAGGUGCAAUUGUCCAUUUAAAUUUAAAUCCGUGUCAUUUUCUAUUUCUUGUCACUGAAUAAACCUCAGAAAUUUCUGUAAUUUUACUGUUGAAAGUGGGUUCACCUUCCCUCAUCUAUCAGUGUAACUGUAGGCUGAGGACAACAACUGUACCUGUGGUGUACAGGGUAGCAAAAACAAGAGGUAUACACAGUUGCACAUACAUUGCAAAUUGCUGAAUGGGAGUAAUUAGAGAAAACCUAUCAUGCAAUUUUCCACCUUUCAUUGUGUCAGUCAGGGACACUUAUCAUGGUUUCCAGCUGAAAAGGCUUCUUGUUAAUCUUAUACUGAAAUUUGUGACAUUUCAGCACUUUUCUGCCACUGCCUCAUGCCAGCUAUACAUCAGAGGACUUUGAGAAGAUUUGGAAAAGACUCCUGGGAAACUAUCAGUUCAUACCUGCUCACAUCUAAAGACAAGUUUUUAGAUUUUUUAGUCACAGCCUAGUCUCAGACUGAGAAUUUACAAAGACUGCCAAUCUUGCAGGGUCACUAUUUACAAGAUACAACUAGAUUCUUUUAGCUUUUUUUUUUUUGACAGUGCAGCAGAAUGACAACUGGGAACUCGCUAAUGCUAAUACUCGGAACACGUGCCCAAUGGUGCAGCCCGUGUGCGCCAUACAUUCUAGUUUUUCUUGUUUUGACUGUCAGGCUUCUAUUCCCGCUUUUUUCAGAGCUCAUCUAUUGGUUGUGUUAUGUCACUGUAACCUCUGAUAAUAUCAAACCCAAGACUAGGGAAAUACUGAUACAAAACAGCGCAGAUUACCACCUUAAACUUAAUGAUUGAGAUGAUGGGAGUGCACUGUGACUCCAGUAAAACUCCUAGAUUUACUUAAGACUUUCAGUUUUUAGUCUGGGACUGUGAAAAUUGUUUGGUGGAAGCCCAUCAUUAAAUUCUCACUUCUGUCUGCUUCUCUUGUGAUGUGAAGUUAAAUACAACUGGUGGAUGUUACUUUUUACACAGUUUUGAGGUCACUUAAGCACUCUAAAGUUAUGCGUUUACAUGAAGUGUCCAAGGGUAGUUAUCAGCACCCACUUAGCUCUCUAUUUAGCCCCAUUAGCAUAUGAUGUAUCAUGUGCUGCUGUUAUGAGGGCACAGAGGAUUCAGCAGCUGGUUUUUGGUUGAUAGCUCUGAAAAGUUAAACAACAGCCUAGUGCACUGACUGUGUGUGUUAGCCUUACUGUGUUUGAGUUGUCUGACUGUACAUAUGUGUGAGGUGAAAGAUAAUGUUCUUGUCUUAUCAUAUGCUUCCUUGGAUUUAGGGUAGACAGAGUUUAGUACGGUCUUCUGCUGCUUUAUUUAGCUGCUUGAUGGGUGCAAUCUCACAUAAUAAUAAAAAAUUGAUUCAGACACCUUAGCAUUGUGUGUGUGUGUGUGUGUGUUUAACUGUGUUUGUUUUACUUAUUAGCCCCUGAGAUCCUGUCAAAUUCCUUAGCAUGUCAAUGAACACAAGACUGCCAAAGGCAAGACACGCAGACACACAUGCAUGGAGUAUUCUCUCGUUUCACACGUUCAACACCGUCAAACACACACUCACAUAUGCGCACCAAUUUCAGAAGUGAGCGGUUCAUUUGACCCCAUUGCUCAGCCUAUCUGGCGUCUCUCUUUAGCAGACUACUGGGAUAUGAAGCACCUUAGGGGUUUACUGUGUCUACUAUUAGCAUAUAAAGAGCAUAAAUUUAACUGCACCUUGUGUUAGCAGGAAGCUUCUGAGACUGCAGGAGAGCAAAGCAAAGUCUCACUGGGAAAACUUAAAAACUCUGUAUUUGGAGAGAGGCUCUGCCUGAAGCUUUGGGAAAGUCAGGCAGUUUAGUCAUGGAAUUUGUUAAUCACAAAUGGAGCCGAAAAUGCACAGACAGUAUGCAGGUUCAUGAACGGAGACGCUGAUACAUACGAUUUUUGCAUAAUGUGCCUGCACAAAACAAGCCUGGUUACACAGAAAGUCCAACUGAAAAUCUCUCUUGGCAUUUUUGGAGAAACUUUUAGAUAAUGAAAUGUGGGCUGUGGGACCUCUCUGGUACUAUACUACUUUCAGGAUGACCUCUGCAGCAGCUUUCUAAUUAGGCUAGGGGGAGAGAGGAGUGUUUUGAGCUGGUUUUUACAAAAAGCAUAUUUGUAGCGUAUUCACUCAACAAAGAUCAUGACACAAUGACAAUUGACACAUAUUUCAGGCUCAGGUGUAUCCCUGGGAGAGGUUGUCUGUUGUAUUCACUUUCCUUUUAUGAUGAUAAGUUAACCACCUAGGGGUUAAAUAAACCACACAUCAUGGUUAAGUUAAAGUGAACCUGUUUUACUGCUUUAUGCAAGCAAGAAAAAAAAAACCCUAAACAUUUAACUCAGGGAUAAAGUUCACUAAUUGUAAUGCAACCCAAAUGCUAUUUAUUUUUUUUCAAACAAGAUUCAUUUCCGAACUAGAGCCAAAUUAGACAGCAAAAAUAACUCAUUUGGUUUGUUUUUAAUUUUUUUGGUUUAAAAUUGUAUUUACAACCAGAAUGCCAUUUUUCUUAAACAUGGCUUAAAUAAAAGUUUUAAAACUUGAACAAAGAAAUUUUGUUAUCUUGCGCUUGUCAAGGUUGACAUAUUUUGUGAGACAACAGACAAUUGAAUUACCCUUCCGGGAUUAAUAAAGUUAUUCUUAUUCUUAUGGAAGAUACAUUUCUCUCUCCUAGAUGUCCCAUUGAGUUUCUUCAGCACAUCACUUCUAUGGUCUUUGGAUGUGAAGGUGGGCUACAAGCCACUAGCUCAACUUGCCUUAUCCCAGCUCUUAAAUUAGGGUUUUAGUCUGGCACCUCAUUUCUUUAAUUAUCUUACCAACCCUAUUAAACUGGUAGCCUAACUUCCCGACUUUACUGACUUUACAAGAUGGCGAGCUAUUCUAGUUGCUGAAAGGCUCUGGCAACAGGUGGUCCAGAUGAAGGCCAAAGGGAUGAGCCUGUCAGCAAUAGCAAGAGAAAUUGGUCUUACUGUGAUUUCCACAAUAUUACAUCUUUACAGAGUCACAAACUCAUUUAAGUCCACCAUGAAGGCCAAUCGUCCAGAAAAGACAAAUGAAAGAGAGGACAGGAUAACCUCAAUGGACAAUCGGCUCAACACUGCAGCUGGAAUUGCUCGCCAAUUCAAUGCUAAAAAAAGUAAGACUCAAUCUCAUCAUACAGUGUCUCGAUGUUUAAGAGUAUUUAGACUGAAAGCCCACUCUGCAGUGACCAAACCUGUCAUUAGUAGAAAGAAUCAAAAGGCUAGACUAAGCUUUGCUGAGGGACAUGUUGUGUGGACAGAGGAAAACUGGUCCAAAGUUCAUUUCAGUGAUGAAAAUAAGUUUAAUGUACUUUGGUCCAAUGGAAAACACUAUGUGUGUCAUCAAACUGGAGAAAGACUGCACCCAAAGUGUGUAAAGAAGUUGGUGAAAGGUAGAGGAGGAAGUGUCAUGGUUUGGGGGACAUUUUCUGCAGCAGCAGGAGUUGGGCCUCUUAUUCAGCUAGGUAACAAUAUCAGAGCCUUCUGCAACAACAUAUGAUUCCAUCCCUGUUCAUCACCCAAUCAGCCAGCCAUUUUCAUGCAGGACAAAGUCUUCUAUGACACAGCAAAACGAACAAAGCAGUUCCUUGAAACUAAAAACCUUGAAAUAAUGAAAUGGCCAGCCCAGAGUCCUGAUCUAAACCCAACAGAAAACCUCUGUAAUAUCUUUGGCAACACAGUUGUGACCAAGAAACCCACUACGGUCACCGAACUGUGGAAGAGACUAAAACAAGAAUGAACCAAAAUCAUACCAGAGCAGUGUGAGGGACUGGUGAUGUCUGAUGGCCAAAGAUGUGCUUAAGUCAUUCAAAACAAAGGCCUGUAUACUUCCUACUAAUGUGUGACCGUUCUAACCUUCAGAUAUUUUUGUUGUCAUCCUUCUUUGUGCUACAGGCAUUGCUGUUCUUUGAUUAUGAUCAUUGUGUUUUCUGCAAAAUGAAGUUUUUUGUUUUUUUUUCUUUGUUAAAAUUCCAUUUGUUGUAAAAUAAUAUUCUAGUAGCACAGUAUUGCCACGUUAGUUGUCAUUAGUUGUUGUCUAAUUUUGUCUAAUUUUGAUCUCCAGUAUGUGUGUAUUUAUAUAUAUAUAUAUAUAUACAUAUAUAUAUGUAUGUAUAUACACACACAUAUAUAUAUAUAGACUGAAACUGGACCUUAAAAACAUGUAAUCACAUUAGUUGAACUGAAAUUUAACCUCUCAUUGUUGGAUUAACAUAGUUAGACAAUGUGGUCGGACUGUAGCUGGUCUAAGCAGUCUGUACAGUGAAGCGCUAAUCAAAAGCACAUCAUGUUUGUUUGUGUAAUGUUGUUGACUGUGCCUUUAGCUGACUGUUUACAUUGUAUCAGCCAGGAAGACCUUGAAUAAUUCUUUACUGGGUAAUGUUUCGCUGUGAAACCACUGUGCAUUCACAAAGCGACAAUAAACAACUGGAACCAUUGCUCCAAUAAAGCAUGAAAACCAACACAACCUCAGUACAAAGUCCUCUAUAGUCCUUACAAGAAAUAAACAGAAAUCAAGAAAUCUUAUGGAAAACCUUAAGUUAUCACACUUCAGUAUUGUUCUGAGAACUAAAAUCCACAAAGCUUAAUCAUGAAGGGAAACAAGCUCCAUCUGUUUCUACUGCGGUAAUCUAACUUAUUAAAAUGAUUUUAUACCAUCGUCAGCGCCACCAAAGUCAGCUCUCAGGUCUAUGUUGUUGUUGGCAGGGAUGUAAAAGCUCUCUAGAUUCAAACAGCAUAGGUAAGAGAAUAAACUGGCGACUCAGACUGAUUCAGGGACCCUUCCUAGAGUGAUUCUUGAUAACAUCACACUGUUGCAGUAGAGGAGAUAAUGCAGGUGUCGGACAAGAGGGUCAACAAGUCCUGUCUGCUCAACAAGCCUGAACCUGCUGUACAAAGGCUUUUUGAGAGGCCAUCAAAGAGGAGGUUAAAAAGACCUCCAUCAUCCAUCCACUCACACUAAAACCCAGCUCAGAAGCCACACAGCAGCAGCAUUUGUGGGCGAAUCAGAGAGCAACGUCCUUCACUGGCUCCUUCGGUCUUUGAUGGAACAGCAGCUGAGUCCUCCAUCAGAGAAAAUCUCCACCCCUGGUCUUGGUAAUGAGGGCUCUGGAGAAAAUAAAGGUGGUUCAGGUGCUACUUCAUAUUUAAAUGAACUUUACAUAACUUUAUUGUAAUAAUUAGACUUAGCCCGUUUUUUUCUUUACCUUAAAAGCAUCCAGCGCUUCAUUCGUACAAAGACGACGUGGCUGGUGCAUUUGUACCAUGUCUUUUCUUUUUAAAAGUGGUACUUUAUUUUUUUCUUUUACCUUUUCACAAACUCAUCACUGAGAACCAUUUCAGAGCAUAAAAAAGUGGAUGCGAGUUUUAGCCAAAAGAUUUAAAAUAAAUUGUAUUGCAGCCUGGUGAGUACAUUGGGUGUGUAAGGGCAAACACAAUCUAAAGUGUACAAAUGUUUGUAGGUAAUGGACCCAGUUUGAAAUAAAUAUUUUAGUAAAUAUGCUAAAAUGAUUUUACAGCUAUUAAAAAGCUGUAGUAAAUCAGUAACUAAUAGAAAUAAUAGGUAAAUAUUUUGUAGACCUCCCCUGUAGAGCUUCCCCUCUCCAUGGAGCUUGUACUUUCCUAAACAAGAUGGAAGUAGAUAUCUGUUAACACCGAUGUUGUUACCACCAACAUUGAUGUUAACAGAUGCUGUUGCCUGGAUAGCAGGGCAGAAUUUUGCUUCACUUUUCUCUACCAGAGAUGAUUGGGCCUUCUUGUGACGGUUUUGUCACUGUAUCAACAAGCAAAUGUCAAAUGUAGAGGAACUCCUCCCUACAAAUGAAUUUGAUCAGGCUGUCUGCAGUGUCCCUUUUGUUCAUGAACAUUAAUCACUGUUGUUUUGCCAUUUUUGACUAAUUGAAUCACAGCCUGAAAAUAAAUAAGACAGUGAUGUGAUUGUAACAAAUCUAAAAGUGUCUAUUUAGAAUUUAACACUCAUUUUAAACUCUGCUAUGUUCAAAUUUGUAUAUUGUACGAUAGUUUUAACUAAGCUGUCAUACCUGUGAACAGCAUUUAAAAGCAUAAAACAGUGUGAGCAGCUUGGGCUUAAAUGUACAAACUUUCUGUCUUUGGAGUAAUUGAUUUAUGUGGUGUAGGGUUAGCCAAGGCUAGCCAAAACACAGGUAUAUGAGUACAUUCAGGUGAUACAAUAAUGCUUUAAAACCAUAAAAAUUCUGAAUACGACUUACACUCCUAAUAAAUCAAUUGUUGUCCUCUUUUUUGAAUUGUUAUGUUUGCUUUUUCCCUCCUUGUCUGUGUUCAGUUUCAGUUAUUAAUUUUAUAACUGUAAGAUAUGAAACAGUCCUUUGCAAAAAGCUUUUCUGGACUGUAAAGAAAAAAGGCACACAGGUUCAAUACAUUUGUACUGGUCAGUGAGGGGGCCUGAAAGGUCUUCAGCAGCCCCACUGUGGGCCCAGCUUUCAGUAAAGAACCAGCAGCCAGAGGAUUCAGUGUAAUGAGGUUUGUGUCAGUGUCCCCCUGUGACAUGGAUAGUUUAUUUUUUCAUUUUCGUCUGAAGAAAAGUUUAGAUCUUAGAGACACAGAGAGCUCAUUGUGAGUGAGAAUAAAUGAACAGCGCUCAUACUUUUAAAGUAUUGGUCUGAGCCGUUCUUCAAGUUUCUAGAAACUAACAUUUAUGUGGACUCCAUGGAUCACUCAAUUGGAAAGUAAGGUGUGUUCAUAAAAGCUUAAUAAAACCAUGAAACAUAGGAGACGUAGACCGCUGUGCACUGCUAUUGUGCUGUCGUUGCUAAAGUUGGUAUAACUCGAGAAGCAACUAGUCGGCAACAUUAAUCUCUCGAGGGGGUGUAUAACUCAGUGUUACAGUGUGUUUGACCAUAACUUUAAUUUACGCUGGAAUAUCCCUUUAACACAUAGGUCAGUUUGUCAUAACUUGUAUUGCUGUGUAGGCUGUAAAUUGACUAAGCUGACCUGAUGGAUUUUUACCUUUAUUCCUUUUUGGUUGUUGCGUCUGCAGUUGCACCGGCCAGCUCGCCUCUGCAUAUCAGGGAGUAUUUUGGCUUUACUGUCUCGCAGUGGUAGCAAAUUGGACACACCAUCCAUGUUUACAUUGUACAAUUCCUGGCACUAACCCAUGACAGAGUUAAUAGGCAAUUAAAAUAACUUCAACAAUUUAAUCAGUCCUCACCUCACUGAUCCUGUUUACUUGUGUACGUCAUAUGGAGGCAUCAGUUUUAAUUUAAGUCUGUUCUAUCAAUAUGAAAAAAAAUCUCGGGCUUAAACCAGCGCUUCUUUGUGCUGUUUGUCAUUACGUGGCGUACAGUCUGAUUAUCAGAGCUUUUAUUCCUGAAAAAGGCAGCAGCCUGCUGCAUGAAAAUCAGUCCCAUCAGCACAGCCACAUUACUGAUCGUACCCAUGAACCACUUGCUAGUCAGAUUUGUAAUUUGGAGGAAAAAUGCAGUGCAGUCAGGUUCUGUGCGGUGCACUCUCUAGUAGCUGCAGGCUAUCCUCUAUCAACCUCUCUCACACAGAGUUGGGGCUGUUUUCACCACAGAGGACAUGAAUGCUAAUUUAUGGUCGACCAUAUGGAGACAGCGACAGCAUCGUUGGUAGGCGACCAAAGCUCGUAGGGCAGUGAGAGGUUGGCGUUACUGGACUGUGCUGCCAUCACGAAACACUCAUCUAGUUAUUGUUUCUGAUGCUUAUUAAGCUGCUCGGCAGAUGGACAAUAAUCUGGGCCAUGAUUAGCAUCAGAAGCACUGGCUUGUAACUCAUACUUAGCCAGCAGCGCUCAUGUGGGGGACAUUAGUGGACAAAGGACGUCAAUGACCUCAAAUGUGGUGCUUUAUAUCCAGUGCAUGUAAUACAAAAUGAAGAGUUUGAGUGCAACUUCUCCAAGGUCCUCCUGUCUAUUCAAGGCACGAGCUGGGCUAUUGACAAUGUUUACUUAUGGAAGUGACAUUUGCAACUUUAUUUAAUUCGGUCAGUUACUGGCUAUUGGGAUGACCUUUUGCCGGCUUCCCUGACAGAAGCCUAUAAACCUCUGAGACUCGCCAGCUUUAUAGACAUUCAAUAAUCGCACAGGGCACUAUUGAUGAAGUUGUUGUGUGCACUACCUAUGAAAUGAAUUGGCCGAGGAGCAGAAACCACAGCAGUGCAGUGCUUGUGUAAUCUGAUGAAGGUGUUUAUGAAAUUAGAAAUUGAUGAAAAUGCGGCUCUGGGGUAUAUCAGACUUUUUGUAAACUCAUUUCGUGUUUACUUUAGAUGUAAAUAACUCUGCCUUUACGUUUACAUUUAGACUUUGGUUGACGGUGGCAUGGUGAUUGCGUCAGAGAAAGUGAUGGAUGCAUUCUGCUCUUGUCUGGCGGUUGUCUUUUAGAGACACAUGGGGCUGCAUGCCAUUUAAAAACAACCAAUCUAUCCCUCAGAAAGUUUUGUGACUGAGAAGGAUAGAUGGAUGGAGAUUACAGAGAGAGAGAGUCUAUUUUUACGCUCAUAGGAGAUGGAUAGAAGUCAGAAAUUCCUCCAUAUGUCUUUGGAUUCUUUAGCUGUUUCUGAAAAAUAUGUCAUUCUGCCAUCUUUCUUGAUCAUUUUGUCAUCAUUUAGAGGCAAAGGAGGAACAAAGCUACUCAUCAUUUUGCCGUCUAUGCCAAAAGCAAUAAACUGUAAAAUCCCUAUACAUUUAGACAGAUAUGCAUCUGCUUAUAAUCUCCUCAUUAAUUACAUUCAGUGCACAAUCCAGAAUUAUGAUAAUUCUUUGCUAUAAUUCACUGCAACAAAAUUCACUGCAAGCAAAUUAAAUCGUUAAAUGUAAAGAACACAAACAGUGACUUGCAUUUGUGCUUCAGCUCAAAGUUUGCAGGGGAAUAACAUCCAUCAAAUCGCCAAGAUAAUUCUCUUUCACAGAAAAACCUGCAGUUGAGAAAAUUAUAGAGAUUUUAGUUCUUAGGGUACAAGGUGAUGUUUUGGAAGAGUCUGGAAAGGCAUGGGACGUCACUUUAAAGAGCACAAAAUGCACUUCUUACAGUGACAUUCAGGCUCAGGUGUAGCAAACUGAGCACAGCCAUGUAUCCACAUAAAAGUAAAAGAAAUAAAAGAAACACAAGGGGCUCUAUUUUCGUGCCUCACUGGAGACGUGCCGCAGGCGCGGUGUAAGUCAGGUCCGCCGAGCCAACAAGGCGUUCUCAAGCACAAUUUGGUAUUUUGGUGAUCGGUGCAGCCCGGCAUAAGUAUCCCCCCUCCCUUACUCAGCUCCUCCCAGCGGCGUAAGUCAUAAGGAGGGAGGAGAGAGGGCGUGGAGUGGAUUAAACACAGCCGAAACCUGUAUUGACCAAUAACAUCAGCUCCUCUCCUCGCCUUUAAAUCUGCCACUGGUGUGGCAAGGUGUAUUAUUAUUUCCGUGAAGUAGUCAAAGUCAAAGAGAUCAAGAGAUGUCUGAUGACAGCAAUGCCACACGAUGGCGACAGAAGGCAGCCCCUCAACAAGUGUCACUGUAAGCGCUGCAGAGGGCGUCCCUCACACUGUCUCAUAUAAGCACAGAUGGAUUUGGUGUGUGUAAGUUUGGAUCCACUAGUAAGACAAACACCCUUCCCACAAAAAAAGACACUCACAUAAAGUUGCACAUAUUCAAACCUCACGUCACAAAGGUGGGUUGUGCGCACAGAUUACAUCAUAAAUUCCAAAAAUGGCAUUAAAAUCGGGAGCAUCUGUGUGUAAAUGACGCAUCGUGCUCUGUGGCCUGGCUCUUUCUUUCAUAGAUGUUGGCAUAUAAAAUAGAUUUGGCUCACAAAACUGAAUAUUAUAAUAUUUGUAUGUAGGCUUAAAGUAGAUAACGCAUCUGAGCACUGAAACAAAUCAUCUGCUCAGCCGCUGCAGCAGCAGCUGCAGCAGGACGGAGAGAGGACACAGAGACAUGUCCAGGUCGAGCUGCGCGAGAAAUAAGAGGAAGAGGAAGAAAGAAAAGGAGGGAGAUGAAUUACAUAUCUGUUUAACUUCAUCAUGUGUGUCUAUUUACUAGAUAUUUGAUUUAAUUUAAUGCGGUUUCAGCUGUGUUGAUUCGGUCAGGUUGUGUGUCCAAACGCGUGCCAAACGCACUCAUCAGAUCAGAUAUAGAUCAGAAUAUAUCGAUAUAGAUCUAAAUGUAUGUGCUGACUCAGAUUAACAGUUGUUGAUGAUUAUUUAUUACACUGAAAUGUGCCUGACACUGUGGAAACCUGCCGGUGAGGCAUCGGUGACGUAUGCCGAUACACCGCAGGUCUACCAAAAUACCACUAGACCAGCUGUGCUCCGCCUGCGCUGAACGCUGACCAGGUUUGAAUCGGCGAGCUUUCAGCGCACUUUAUACGCCACCGGCGAGAAUGAAAAUGUCACUGCGGCAGCUGAUUCUGUCGACACGUUCCUCUGCCACGCCACCACGCCCAGCAUGGCGGACCUCGGUGCGUCUCAGUUCAUGAAAAUACCAAACUGGCUGUACGCCGGGCUCCGCUAGACAAAAAUACCACUGCGGCGGACACAAUAAUAGAG